GUAUUGUUAUAGGUGAGCAAGGCAUAACAUUCAGUAUGAAAAUUGCCAUUUUAAAAUAUUUGAAACUAUUAUGAUUAUUCUGUCUCAAUAUCAAGCAGGUAAAACUCAGAACUUUGGACAGAGCACUGUUUACUCGUGGCUUUCAAAGCAGCAUCCAGCCAAAUGUUCAUCACCACUGGUGGAUCAGACUUCUGCAGUCAUGAUAGAGACUGUCUACACUGUUUGUUACUGAAGAAUUCUAAGUACUGCUGAAGCCAAAACUUGUAUCUUCCUCUCCAAAUAGGUUUUGUACCUGCUAACAGGGUUUCAAAAUGUAUGUAAUACAUACGAAAUGAAAGGAAAAAUAAUCAGUACAGUUCUAAUGGAACUAGUCAGUGUUAUACUAGUUAUGUCUUUGGAACUUGCUCUUAGUAUCAGGAUGAUACUGGGAGUAUUAAUUUUGCUUUGAGUUGAAAUUUGGCUCAUAGGAAUAGCUCAGAUGUUCAACUGCUCUUAUCUCAAAACAACUGAAGAGUUGUUAACUGAUUUCAGAGAAUAAAGCUAAUUUAUUUGCUGGAAAAGAAUCAUCACCUGGCAUUCCUUAGUCAGUGGUGUUAUGGCUUUUUCCCACUCAGUUUUGUGACCUUUUCUGUGAUGAAGUAAUCAGUUUUGGAGGAGUUGGGAGGUGGGCAGGAACAAGAGACUCUUAGCAGCAUUUUCAGUGUGUUGGCUUCAGAAGUUUUAAGUAGGUGAAAGUGUGAAGUUGGAAGAAUAUUGCAAAGGUGGACAGAUAUAGUGAGUGCCAAGCUUGGUCAAAGAUAUGCAGUUUAUUAUGGCCAGCAUGCUUUUGUAUGUGCAUAUGGUCAAAACGUGAACAAGGGUAAGCAGUUGCAGCAGUAGUAAAUACAUUUUGUUGCGUUUUCUUUUUUUCCCCCCCUCUAGAUAAGGUACACAGAGUUAGUCUACCAUGGACACACUGAAGCAACUGCUUCAGGCCACACUGUUGUUUUGCCCAUCAGGCUUGCUCUAGUGCUUUGCAUCCAGUUCUGGCUGGCUUAGACCAGGAUUCUUUUUAAAUCAUAUUUCAUUUCAUUAGGUGAGUUGAAUUAUAUCCCUAAAUUUUUCUGUUGUUUGUUUUUUCUUUUUUCAGAUCUCUUAGUUGGAAUAUUCCAUAAAAGGUCAGUUAUUGUCACCAUCACUUAAAAUAGCUACUUAGGCUUUUAAACCUAUCUGUUUUUGUAGGCUACUUUCUUACCUUGAUACGUAGGAAAAAUCAAAAGGGGCAUUUUAGUGUUUUUUUGGCAAACAUCCUAAUGUGCAGUGGGUGGAUUUUUUUGUUUGUUUGUUUUAAGGAAUAAAUAAAAAGUGUGAGGAGUAAUGGCUCGCCUCUCCAAAUCCUCUCCUAACACUGUGAAUUCCAAAUGUGGUCUGUAACCAGUGACAGCUGUUUCAUCAAGAAUUGCUCUGUGUUUGCAAAAAGCAGUGUUUGCUUUUGCGGUCUCUUUAGAACAGGCCUGACAUAGUUUGUAAUGUAUUUAUACCAUGCCUAACAUAAUAGGAUCCAGGUCUUUGACUGAGGAUGUGGCCUGUUGGGCAAAACAAAUAACCAUUAGUCCAAAUGUAGAAAAAAGUGACAUUACUUAAGGCCCCCAGAGCUGAACAAACAAUUCAUUGCUGUGAUCAUAUCGACCAUCUCCUUUGGAGGGAUUUUAAUUGUAUCAGAGAAGUUUCAUACAUUAAAUAGUGAACAUAUCUGUUAGGUAUUUGGCUAGAUGUGAUUUACACUCUGAUGGUCAUUAAGCCUGCACUGUUCAGACUGGGGUACUCAGGCCCUCGGUUUAGAGUUCUCAUUAGAAACUAGGCUGAGUUAUUCUUUACAACCUCUUUACUCUCAUCCUGAGAAAACUUGCUUAUAUAUCAGUAUUAAAUGGGGGAGGAGGGGAAGAAUGGGAAACUUCUCGUAGUCCAGUAAUCUGAUUUGCCACUUUCUAGCUGAAAACUGGGUAAACUGUUUAGCUUGCUCAUAAUGAAAGCUGUUUUAUGAGUAAUGCCAUGUUCACAACUGAGAUUUGAAUUACUUGCAGGAGAGAUGGUACAAAGGAAAUGGGUUUUAGCCUUACGUGGCCAGAAGGGAAUCAACAGACAAAUUAAACAUAGCAAAUUUCUGCUACAUCAGCUUCUCCAUUACAAGGGCCAGUUCCUCUGUCUGGAGAUGGAUGCAAUUUUUGGAGAUCUGUGUUCCCUCUUCCAGUGAGAUUGUUGUUACAGGAGGAAAAACUAGUCAGUCUGAUGUGCGAUGUUUGUAAAUGGGUGAAACAGACUGAAAGCCAAAACCCUACGUAGUUUGUCCUAAGGGUAGCACUAAAGGUUUGAGGUAAAGAUCUCAGGUUUACCUUUUUGAAAAUAAAUACAAAUCUGAGAGCAUCAGACAUAUUUUUUUAAUAUAAUAGUGAAUAUUACCUUGGAGUACAAAUAGCAAAAGUUAGGUUUCAUAAUUAUCCUGUUGGUGUGGUGAAAUUUAAAUUAUGCUUCACAGAGGGGGAUCAAUGGCAGAGGGGGAUUGAGGAUGGAAUUCAUCUCAUUUAACUUUAAAUACGUUCACAAGGUGACACAUUUGACCAAAUUUGGGCACGUAUAUUACUGUGAGGUAGACUGCUCUCUGAAGGUAUCUGAUCCUUUCCUGUAUAAAGAAUAUGGGAUGACUAGAUAAGAUGUAAUCACAUAAUUUUUAGAUUCCUAACAUGGGCCAUUUGAAUCCUAAAUGAUGUCCCUAAGACCAUGGUAGGGAGCAUGUGGCAAGGCUGAAAAAUAAACUCAGAUUUUCUAAGUUGAAGUUAAUAACACUAAUCAUAAUAGCAUCUUCUCUGUGUAGAAUUAGAUGUGUUUAAAACUAGUAGUACAUGAUGAAUACUCAAAACUGCUUUCAACAGUUGCAAAUAAUAUUAAUAACUAAAAAAAAAAAAAACCAACACCCAAACAAACAGUAAUUGGACCAAAAGAAGGGUAUAUUUUUAAAGUUCCCAAUGGAAAUUCAGUUCAAACUCUUUAUUUUGCUAUGGCUAGUAUUACUGUAUGUGAUUCAUGGGGAAAAAUGUUAAUCCCAGUAGUGCUGCAACUUUAUGCUAGAAACUAUAUUUUAAAAAGAAUAUUCAGAGCAAAACUUGCAUGUUAUUUUACUAUAUAGUAUAGCAGAUCUAUGUCUGCAGAAUCCACAGAGCUGUCAGGAAAGAACCUUUUAUCCACAAAUAGUGUUAUGUGUCACAAAAUUUUCUUACCUAUUAACACCAUAGGAAAAUGGGCAUCUUGUCAGUGAAGCCAUAAAGGUCUGUUGUGCUGAGGAGUAAGUGUUGGGAGGAGCAGAGUAGUUUACUCAUAGUUAUGGGAGCUGAAAGGGAUCUUAUCCAGUCUGCACUGUUAGAAAUGGGAUUAUGUGAAAGGAGACACGUUCCAUGCAGCAGCCCAGUCCUUGCUACAGUGUGUGUGUGCGUGCAUGUGUUUUGCCUCUUCAGACGCUACAUUACAUCUUGCGUCUGGAUCAGGUAUUGUGCUUCUAGAGGCUAGCUUGAUUCCUUCUUGCUUUCCUUCCUCCCUUAACAUAUUUUAAGGCUGUACUUUUGACUGAGCUGAGGAACAGAAUCUAUUUAAAUAGAUUCUGCAUGUAAUUUGUACAUAGAAAUCUAUUCAGAUGAUCCUGGUAGUAUUUGACCCCUUUAAAUUCAUGGCAUCGCAUCUCUUUUCGUGGGAAUGCACUGUGAUGUUAAAGCUUCAGGGUGCAAAGUAUUUGUUUUAAUGAAGUUCUAUGAAGAAAAAGCAGGCCAGAAAAAGCUCUGUUAUAUUAAGAUAAAACAGAAGCUGGCAAUGUGAAGAAUAAAAUAGGAUGUAUAUUUUAGGCUUAUGUGAUUUCUUCCCCUACAAAUUUGAAAAUGACUGUUAAUUUCACAGUACUGCAUAUAAUAGAAGUUAUCUUCAUGUUAGGUCUAAAAUUGUUAAAUUCGAAUGGUCUAGAAAGAAAAAUCCAAUACUCUGAAAAAUAACAUCACAACAAAGUUGUUGUCUUGUUGAUAUCUUUGGUCAUCAGGAUUUCUUGUUAGUUUCUGUUCUCCUUUGAAUUAGAAGGUAAACACAAUGUCUUCGUAGCUAAAUGAGCCUUUCAUAAGCUAGACAUCAACUAUAUAUGAAUAAAGAACAGUAGUUCUAAAAUGUGUCAUGCUGUCAGAGUAUAACUGUUUUCUCUAUGAAUGUGGAAACUGUCAGCUAUGUGCGUUCUCUCCCUGCCCUACUUUUCCUCCCUAUGUGUUGAUAUUCACCCAUGUGAAAGGCCAAUUAUACUUUGGCCAUUGUGUAAAUAAUGCAGAAGUUAGUAGCAGAGGAAAACUUGUUAGAAACCUGGGGUAGUGAAUAAGUAAAAACACCUUUUAAUGAGAGCCAUAGUCUUUGCUUCUGUAUCUCAUCAUGUUUAUAUGUAUGUGUGCAUAUACAUGUGUACAUAUGUUUUAUAUAUAUAUAUUUAUAUCUAUUAUUGGUUAAAUUUUUUCAUCUGAGGACUGGCUGUAAUAAGUUCCCAGGUCAAUCUUCCAUCUGGUUAUUUUGCUCUGCAGUAUUUUCCCUGCUGUUUUUUCAAGAGCCUCCUGUGAACAGGCACUGGUCUAUCCCUCUCCGAUGUGGUGCCUGAGAUGGAAGAGUGCCCUGGCACUGUGGCUGAAGCUCAAUGAAAAUGGCUAUUCCAUUCCCCUGGUUCUGUGAAAAGCAUUGGGAACAUGAAGCUCAAUUGUGUCAGGCUACCUCAGAAAUGAAGUAGUCAGUCUCAUAACAGACAGACUCCUGAAGCUGGAGAGCAGCUGGGCCAGCUCUUGGUAGCUGUUGCAGGUACAGCCAGGCCCAGGCUCUUGCUGGAGUUGCUGUGAUGUUGGCCUAGCUGGGUGGUAAUUAUCUGCCCUAAUAGAGUGGUUAGCUGGCUGUUCUGGGUGAUCUGAUCUCAAAUGGUGUGCAGAAGUUGAUUUUUGAAGCUGCUCUUUCUCUUGAGUGUUAUUCUGAGAGAGAGACUUUGUGGCCUUCAGCUCAGUUGCGUGUCAGUCCACGUGCCUCUCACCAGCCUUGCAGCAGUCUCCACUGAAACAUGCAGGACUGUGUGCCUGCUCUGUCCAUGGUACCUCUUACUGGGGUGCAGACAUCAGAUUAACAGUGUACUGGUCCUUGCCUCACAUAAUUGACUUUGUUUUCAAGUGGCAAUGCUCUUAAUGUAGUUGUUUAAAGGAUACUUGUAAAGAGAGAUAAAGACUGCAUCUUCAGUGUGGCUUAAAACAGGAGUAAUAGGGAGAUAAGCGAGUAUCUCCUAUUUAUUUUUUUUAUCAAGGAGCUCAUUUUUUCCCUGUUAUCUUUACUCUUUCAUGAUUGAGCUGUUUGUUUCCAGAUGGUGGCUACGCGUGUGACAUUGGGACGCACAGCGGCCAAUCUGUUCAGCGGCAGGCCUCUCCUCAAGCAGGGCCUGAGGUGCUGGGCAGGCGGCUGCAGGAGGGCAGCGCAUGGACCCCUCCUGCAGCAAUUAGUUCUGCUUUCAUUUCCCCACCCACAGGCUCUGCAGCAGCUUUCUGUGGGAGGGAGAUUCAGCUGCAAGAGCUGAAAUGCAGAGCUGCAACCAUGUAACACCUUUCAAAUGGAACUGAAUUCAUCCACAUUGCUAAAUGUGCCCACAGUACCAAAACAUUUAUUGUUCCAGGUGUUGGUUUUAGUAAUUUUUUUUCUGCUAGAGCAGAGUUCUUAGUGUAACAUCCAGUACGUAUCAUAUGCAGUAUGUAAACAAUUGUGUUUUCUUGGCGCUUUUAAUAGAAGAACUUCCUAGAGGAGGGAGAUGUUAUGUGGAAAUACAAAGUCUGCAUCAUAUGUGUAAGGGUAUUCUUGGAUUUUUCUUACCUAUGGCUAUAUUACGGUUUGAAUUGAAUGAGCAUUUUGUUCUAUUAUGCCUUAUCUUCUCUCCUGUACUUAUAAAAUUGUGAGGGGUAGGGAAAUAAAAUGAAAUAUGGAGCAGUAAGCUCUCAUUAAAAAGCAAAUAGGCAAAUAGCGUGCAACAUACUGAAAGGGCUAAAGAGCUGUUAUGUACUCUACCAAAAAAUAACUCAUUAAUACAAAGACAACAUGACUAGAUAUGGCCAUAUUGACCAGGGUGACUUAUCACAGUGAUUCAGGGGCUUAACUGGCUGUUCUUCAGUGAUUGAAGUCCAAUUUUCUGAGUAAUUCUGUUCUGUUCUCCUGGAAAGUGUGGUGGAGGCUGAUGGAUAAGCAUUGAAGUUCCCUGUGGUAAGGCAGUUGUCCAUGUCAGCCUCUGAGCUUCUGGAAAUCCCCUUGAAGUUAAGAUAAACUGUACUGGUGAAAGUGUACUCAUAUUUAGGAAAAAAAAAAAGGCUUUUGAAGUAAAAGCAUGAGAUACUGCUAUCACAUGGCUAUUGUGCAAAGAAUUAUUUUUGUUGCAAAGAUAUCCUGGAAAACCUUUCAGCAUAUGUGAUUGUUUUCUUAAGAGAAACAUGGCAUAUCUGAACUGGGCAUCUCUUAAGACAUGUUAUCGAUAUGUCUGCUUUUAAAAGGAUACCGGAGACUGAGAGAAUUUGGUGAAGUAUUUCAAAUAGCCCAUGAAAAGGGCAUGAUUUUUUUUUCCCCAAAAUCUUAAAAACCUCCUACUACACUUGAAUAGACACUUGCUGCUUUAGUGUAAGCAAUUCUAGUGAAUCCUUGUACUUCGUAUGGUUUCAUAACAGAUAUGGGUUCUUCUGAAAACUUAGUUUUAGUUACCUGUUCAUUAUUGCAGCAAGAUUUUAGCUUAAGUCUCUUUGAUAUUUUUCUGACGGUAGUGUUGAAACUUUAGCUUGUAAGUCAACAUUGUUUAUCUUUGCUGUCUGUAGUAUAGCUGUGUUAAAGUGUCUAAGUUCAGAUCAAAUAGCUGCAAAAGCAAGUACAAGUUCCAUGCGAAAAACAACACUAAUCACAUUAACUGAACACUUUGAAUGCUGAUACUCUUUUCAGUUCCCUGCCCAAACUGAAUAAAAUAAAGCAUUUCAGAAUAAAACUUUUUAAGCAAUAGAAAUUUACUUUUUGUUCACCAGCAGGUGAUAAGUCAUCACUGAAGUCAGUUGAUGACAUGGAACACUUCAAGCAUGUCAAUCUUUGUCAAAAUGAGAAGUCAUUUCUUAAUUCGGAGUGUUGUUGAACCAAACAUAACCUUCUAAAUUUGUCUUGUCCAUGCCUGUGAUAAACUGCAUUAUACAAGCUGUCAAUUAUGCAAGUAAUUUGAAUCUAAGUUUUCUAUAUUUACUGGGUAGUGGAGUCCUUAACUACUUCAUGUGGAUGACUAAACAGAAACAUACAGAAAUAUACUAAAAGUAUAAGUAGCUCACACAUAGGAUGUUUACUGUUUUUUACUACCCUUUCUCUACAUAUUUUGACCUGAGCUAAUUUAACAUUCAUUAAAAUUGACAACUGAUAUUUUUUUAGUUGUUUUUUUUUUUUGAGGGGAUGGCAAGCUUAAACUGCAAGAACAGUUGAGAAUAAUACAGAAACUUGUUGCAAGUAGUAUUUCCACUUUUUAAAUACAAUCUUUUAAAUACUGUUUCAGUUUUCAGUAGAUUGUGGGGAUCUUUUUGCUCCUUUUUUUAAUUGUUUUUGAAGUAAAUCUUUUCUUAUGCCAGUAGUACCAUAAAAUACAGUAGCAGUAAUUGCAUAACAUGUAAAAGGUUCAAAGGUUAUUUUUCCCCAUAAAGAACAGAAGAGAGAACUGCACAGCAGUCCUCUUCCAUUGUAGAAGAUGGUGACAUAUUAUUCCUUUCAAUUCUAGUUUGUGCUUCGUUGCUCUCAGAAUAGAUAUGCUUGGGACAUAUGCCCAAACUCAAGAUGUGGUCAAUGUGCUACUAUGAUUAUUUUGUUACUGAAGAGCUUUUUUUCUUUCCUCUUCAGAAAAAAAAGAGUUAUCCAAGGCAGAUGGUACUGUGAUAAACAGCUUGAUACUUACUACACUAGAUGCUAGGAAGUUUGAUAAAAGAAUGUAAUGAUGUUGACAUCGUAAAAUCUUAAUAAUCUUGUUCAUCUUAGGCAUAUGUGGAAAGUAAUACUUGAUAAAAGAUACCUGUCCAAGUUUUUUGGGUGAAUGGCAAAACUGAAUAGCUAAAUUAUUAUUACUGUUUAUGCAGGUCAGAAUUUGUAAAUGACCGGUUAUGUCAGCAGUGCCCAGCUUGAAGCACAUUCAGAAGUGCCUUGUUUUCACUAUGUGCUGGGCAUGCAUCCUGCUAAAAUCAGGCUGUAUGCACACAUGACUGAAAGGCAAGUUUUAUUCAUAUUAGAGAAGCUGUGAGAUGGAGGUACUUUGAAUGUAUUCUUUAUGUGACUAAAGAAAAGUUGCUAGAUAGAAAGCCUGAUCCUGUGUUACAGUCCUGUCUUGCUAGACAGGGAAUGAUAGGACAAACAUACAUUGCUGAGCCAGUGUAGUGGCUUUUAGGAAGCUUGCUCAGGCUGGUACUAAGCCCAUUCUUAUUAUACGCUGAGUAGAUGUAUAUGAAAUUUAGUACACCCCAAUAUCACUUGACUGAACCAUCAUAAAAUAGUUGUUUAGUCUAAGCUGCCAAUGAUGACUUUUUAUCAUUAAAAUACUUAGAAGAAAAGAAUCUUAAUUGUCCCCAUUUUAAAUAGUCUUUGUAGGAUGAUGAAUGCUGGAGUUCCUCUUCCAUUGCUUACAGUGGGACAUCAACUGGCUGUCAUGGAUCUAGGAGAAUGCAGUAUUUGUGAGUUAAAAGAGUUAAUUCUCACCAUAAGGAAGAAAAGUUAAAUGGAAUUUUCUAAAAGUUCACUUUUCAAUAAUUUUCUUAAUCAAUGAAAACAAAUAGCUUGUAUUGACUUCUUUUCAGAAAGAAAUGUUACUUGAGGGUAGUUUUAAUAAAAGGUUUUGUGAUGAGUUAUACUGAAAGUAAGAAUUUAGAGGAAUGAAAGAAAUUUAAUUUGCACAUAGAACUUUGAUUUGGUAAUUUUAUCACUUCUUGCCCCUGUUAGGGAUUUUAUAUAUGCGUGGUGCUAAUGGUGGUUUUGAGUACUGAAUGAUAAAAGUUCAAAUUAACGUUAGUCGGUAUUAAGAGCAGUGUGACAGUGCUAAUAUAUUUUUUCUACUCUGACCAAACUUUAGUGUAUGCUUCUAUGUACUUAUCUAGUUGUAGAUGGGAAAUAAUCCUUUAUGCAUAGUGAUCUAAAAAAAUAAACAAAGUAAGUUUCUGCUUUAUUAGUAACACAGUACACUACUGAGUAAAGAUGAAAAACAUGCCAAUAACAUUUUGUGACCAGAAGGAUGCGGAUUUAUUAUGUUCAUGUAAUUUUGUCUUAAUACUUGUGGCUGAUAAAUGCUCCAACUGGUAUUUUGGUACUGGUUCUUUUCGUUAUGCAAUUGUAAAUCUCCUCAAGCAGCAAAGAGAAGACAGGCUGUUUCUGACAUGAAAUGUUACUAAUGGGUUUCUGUUGAGUACGUUUCAGUACUCUGCUGUUUUACGCAGCUACUUAAUGGGAUCCAGAGAGACCAGCCAUUAAAAAAGAGAUUUCUAAAAAUUGUAUACAGUCUAAGCAGAUAUCUUUUGCUUAUGAUUUUUCUCUCUGAUUGCAUGUAUAUUACUGUGAUACAUGUAUUCUGAUGAUAAUGUUGUUACUUCUGGCAAGAUGAAUGUGCAUACGUGACUGUGCAUCUGUGUAUGGUAUAACUUGGCAUCACACAGCUUGCACAUGCCUGCCAAUAAUGCUUUCAGCUUGGCGUGGUAUUUUUGGCCUUGGGCAUCUCUUUGCUAUUCCUGGGGGUCCAUGCCUCCCUUCAUGUUCUGUCAUUCCCUAUUUGCAGGAGAGGACUCAGAGAUGCUAAAUAACUGUCAUGUAACUAAGGUAUUUCCAGAGUAUACUUGAAGUCACAGGUGGCCACACUAUAAUUCAUUUAGGUAUUAUGUAUGCAAACCACCUCUCCAGUUCACCAGAACUAAAUCUUUGAUUAUAACAUUUCUAUAACCAAACAGACCUCAAGAUGUGAGUAGAAAUGCGUGUGUGUAAAUAUGCAAUGAGUGUGCAAGUGCUGCUUUGUAUUCUUAAGGAUAGCAUGAAAAUCCAUAGUUCUCUUCAUACUACCUGUGUUAGUGGUGCUCUGGCUAACUGAGGAUGAAAAGACUAUGUUACUAAGGCUUUAGAGCUGUUAUUAUUAUUAUUAUAUUUUUGUAAAUAGGAUGUGCUUUUAAUGAAACAAUCUGCAGCUACAAGGCAUGCAGAUUGAUGACUGCAUUGCCAGUGUCAAGCACCAAAAAUCCAGGAAGUCUGUAAACAUUAUUUGUUGUCAUUUAUUUCUUUUUCAAACACAGAUUUCGAAGCUCUUGUCAUUGAAACCACUCGUUAUUGAGGACUCUAUUUGAUAGAGCUUUGGAGAAGGUGGGAAGAAUCACAGAUGCACAUGUACUCCUUGGACUUUUGUAGUAAUCUUGCAAGAAUUCUUCUUUUCCCACAUGUUCUGAGAAGACAGAAGUGCUUAGAUCUUGUUCCUAUUGGCAGCAAUCAUACUUCAGAAGGCAGUUCCAAAAGAUUUAAGUGAUAAUUUCCAAAAAUAGUGAACAGCUGUAUGUGAAUACCUCAGUAGUCAAAGAAAACAUUUAGAAAACAUACUCAAAUCAACCCCACAAAAGACAACAAAUGCAUGUGGUUUCUUGGUGUUAUUUAUUUAUUUUUCUUUUAAAGUCUCUGGUGGAACCCUGGUCCCUAACAACUAAUUCUAGUAAGGAUAUUGAUUUUUAAGCAAACAAAUAAUAGAAUACCUGGGCAGUUGAAGGCUGACUUGUUGCUUAACCUUGUGCUUAAGUUACUUAGUCCUGUGUCCUGGAAGAGGCUUCAGCACUGGAAAGCUGAGAAUCAUAAUUAUCUUCCCAUUAGACAUUUAUUAACUAGUAUGGGAUUUACAAGUUUAAUUGCAUGUACAAUGAGGUAGACAUAGAUUUUAUUUUUUGCAAAAGCUGGAAUACUAAUUCUCAGUGUAAAAUGUUGUCAAGAGAGACCUCUGUCUUGGUGCUACCAUCUAGCUCUUCAGGCUGCCUGGUAGUGUCCUCAUCAACUUGAUCUGAUCUUUCAAUAGCCCUGUGCCCUCUUCUGAAUUGAAAUUUGCAUGUAUCCCUUCCACCACCCCCCUUCCCCCCACACCCCCUCCCCAAAGAAAAAAGAAGAAAAAAAAAAAGUACUUUUUCCUUUCUUAUUUUUAAGGAAGGAAAAGACAGCAGUGAAUACUCUUUAUGCAAUGAUUUCUUGUUUCAAAUCACUCAUCUUUCCAGGAGGAGUUCAGAAUGAAGAUUCUUGGCUUUUCAGUCUUUCUCUUAAAAUCAUUUCUCUAUUUUUACUUUGAUAAGCUAUUAUCUAUUCAUGCUAUUUCUCUGAUUAUUAAAUAGGAGAAGGAGAUUUCUGUUGCCUCCUCAUCUGAUUGUGUUUUUUGGAUUACAAAUACUGCUUACAGGUAGAUGUUGUGGAUGCUCAAAGCCUAUCUCUAGCAUAACUUCAGGAGGCAGAUGAAUGCUUCGGCAAAUGCUUAGCACAGGUGCUCCAAACAGGGUAAGAAUAAUACUAACUUUGGCACAGUAACAUGGCUCUGCUGUGUUCAAAAAUUCUGUUGCCUGUGGAGCUUAAUUGGAAAACACAGAUGCUGAACGCCUUGAUAAGGAGAUUAGGAAUUAUGUUCCUGGACUGUCAUUUAUUUCUGAAGUGGUCAUAUGUAGAAUUAAAGGUUCUUUGUGUACUUAAGGCUAUUUUCCUAAAAAGACCAAAAGAAAUAAGUCUAGAAUACCAAGCAAGCAAAACGGACCUGUUGUGCAUGUUUGUUCAUGUAAGGAAGAAUAAAUCUCAUCAGAAGCUAAGUAGCUGUAAGCCUUAGCAGUUUCAGCAUAUAGACCAAAGAAAAGAGCUGUCAGAAACUUACUGAGGAAGGCUGAAGUAACUGAACUGGGAUUUAAGGUGAACUUUCAAAACUGCAAUGUGAAUGAGGAAGGGUUGACUUCAAUAUAUUCCCUGUCUUCUCUUCAGAAAGAGGUGCAUUAAAGGCCUACAUCUAUUUUAAUAAAGCUUGGAAGCUUUAGCCAGUGUAAGUCUCUGAUAUGUUAUGCAAAGAAAGUGGUGAAAAUUGUGGAAUGUCAUAAUUUAGCAGUCUCUAGUUCUGGUGACAUAUGUUGAAUCUUGUUGUGUUACUUGUAACUUGAGAUAUUUGAAAUAUGCAUCUUUGCUGUCUUGUUUUUAUGAGCUACUUAAGCCCUACAGAUUUAAUGAAUCUCUCUAGACUGCACGCUAGAAAUAAACGUCUUCAGUGUGCCUGAGAUUUGUACAGUAUGAUGCAAGUUGAAAAAUCUUUUAGAUUGGGCAUAUUAGAACAUGUUUGCUUUAUAAAACCUGAAAAUACUUUGAUAUAUGACUGCCAGUUUCAAAAGGGUUCUGUCUAACAAAAGCAUGCUUUUAACCUCCUAUCUCAGUUUCUUUCUCUCCAUUACGAGUUUACUCUAAAGUUUCUGAUCAUGAAAAUUUCACAACAAUAGGAAAUUGGUGAUCUCCAGAGGUACAUUCCAACUCUUGCAAUUUUGUGAUCCUAUGAAGUGAGACAUAAGAAUCCUCCUUUCUAAGAAGGCUGUUUGAAAUGGUCUGACAAAAUAUGAAUUAGAUAAUGACCCCACUGUCUAAUAAGGAAAAUGGAGUUUUCCAACCUGUAUACUGUAAGUUGUUUUUAAGAUAACGAGGAAGUAUUGGUUAAAUAAUGGAAGGAGAGGCUAAAAAUGGUGAUUGAAGACAAAUCUGAAAAAUGAAGAGGAAGGAAUGAAGAAACAUAGAAGAAAUUAAGCACCUUAUUCGUUGAUAACAUUCUAUAAAAGGGCACAUGCACAGAUAAAUAAAGGACACAAAGAAGCACAAAUUUAGAGUAUGAGUAUUUCUCAGUUUCCAGAAGUUAGCUGCAUGUAAGAGCACAUGUUGAGCAUCAUGGAGAAAAUAGAAGUGAUUUUCAUGAGUUCUUUAGCUCCUUGUGGAAUUGUCUGUCACGGGUAUUCAAAAGCAAUGGAUUAGACAUAAGAUAGGAAACUGCCAGUAAACUUUGUUUUAAAAAUUAUUUAAAAUGUUUGUCUGUUCUUAUUUGAAAACUGGAAAAACUGUUACACAGUGAGGAGUAAGAUAAUCAUAGUUGAUGGAGUUGAAGGGCUUCAGGAAAAAAGACUUCAACUAAGUGAGGUAGUUACUGUGCUAUGCUUUGAACUUGAGAAAUAUAUGUAGAACAGGAUUUUUUUAGUAGAAUAACACAUGCUGUUGUUAGUCCCAAAUUUGAGUGCAAGGAAACAAUAAUAAAUUGUUGUGGCUUUCUUUUUAGUAUAGCUGGCUGCUAUUUCUGCCUACUAUUCUAGCUGAAUGUGACUGUAAGGUUUAUUACCAAAAUAUGUCACAGGAGAGUUUCAGAUAAACUGAGUUCAAUUAAUAGGAGUUACUGUAUGUGCUGUUAACUCCUCCAAUUGUGUAUUGAUCUGUUUGUGAUUCUAAUGUUCAAUAAUUACUUCAUGCUUCUGUGGUUGUCAUCUACACCCUUGUAAGCCCAGUAUUACAUAUGGCCAUUAAAACGGAAAAAAAAAAAGCUCUUUUAAUUUAUUAUUUAUUAUUAUUUUUCUUAAUUUUUUUUCUUGACGUGGUAGGCCCAUAUUGAAUAGCCAUGUUUAACCUACUCCUAUAAGCAGUUAUUUCAAUAAAAUUGUGGAACUAACAUUGGCCUCUAGCUGCUACUUAGCAUUUAUUGAUUCAGAAGUCCUUGCUGAAUAAAAGUUGAAAUGGUUAUUGUAAUAUAAAUGAUUAUUGUAAUAAUUGGUUAUUAUAAUAAAAAUAAGCUUAUUACUAGUACUAAUUAUACAAGAUCUGCUCUGAAAGUAAUGCCUCCCGUUUUGUUAUGUUGUCUCACAAUGUCAGAGGUGGAUGUUGGUGGUAUGACAGCAGAGGUGGAACCUUACCACCAAUAUUUUGUUACAUUUUGUUGCCGUGUGACAGAUGGCAGAUGGACAGUCUGACAAAAUGGAAUCUGGCAUGGAAGUAUAGAUAAAGCAAAAGUGGUGUCAUUGAAUUUUUCUGUGUGGGGGGUUUUUCCUGUCAAUGGUAUGUCAAUGUUAGUUGCACCCAUUGACAUUCACGGACACUUGCUGAACAUCUAUGGAGACCAACCAGUGGAUGUGAGCACAGUGAGACAGUGGGUGGUGUGUUUCAGCAGUGGUGACAGUGGGUCACCUCCUCUGAUUCAGAUGCUUAUGAGUGCAGCAUGCAGGUUCUUACUCAUAGCUGGCAAAAAUACAUGGCUAAUGAUGGUGACAGUGUUGGAAAAACAGUGUUUUGUAGCUCAGAAUGUGUUCUAUCGAACAGCAUUAUUGUGCUCUUUGUAUCUGUAGUUUCCAUGGAAAUAAAUAGGAGGCAUUACUUUCAGAGAGACCUACAUAUAAACACAUUUGAAAUAUUUCUAAUAAGAAUGUCCAGCAGUGUGAAUUCAGUUAGCUAUCUCCAUGUACUCAGUGGUGAAGCGCACGAAGAAACUCACGGGGAACAUGCUCAGAAUCUGAGAGUUCUCUCCCCCCAAAAUAGGUAGUAUCCACUGUUGAUAUAUCUUAGGUAGUAUCCAUAUAAUAUUCUGUCUCUUUUUAUUCAGAUCUUAGGAUUUCCCUUCAGCUGCUCAGACAGUGUGUGAAAGGAGCCUGUCCCCAUUGUUCAUGUUUAAGUGGCAGCACCGGCUGGAUGAAAUGCCUGGUCAAAGGCAUUGCAACUGGGAGACAGAGAAUGAGUGUCAGGGAAAUAAGGAAAAAGGGAAUAGAUCUGGGAGUGAGUGGUGGAAAGAAAGGGAUAGAGGCACUCAUCUGCUUCAUUUACUACAUGGUUUCCCAUUACUGCAGGAAAUGAAGCUGGAAUUCUACUGACAGUCUCUUUUUACUAUAUAACUCAAAUUAAUCCCUAGAGCAACCUGUGCAAUAAAUGAAGCAGAAUCCUAUGGAGAAAAAUAGUAGAGCCUUAAAAAAGAAUUGAAGACUAUAUUGCACUAGGGGACUGAAUUAACUUUGCACUAACAAUCUUCGUUCUGUCUUUUCUUAACUUUAGGGUGCUUAUCCUAGCAACCUUAGCAUUAUUUUAAUGUAGGUCAGGGGGAGAAGGGAUCAUGCAUAUAAUUUGCCUAUAUUUAUCACAAGUGUAGAGUAUGCAGGAAACGUUCACCAUGGUGUAUCCUUUACAGGUGGAUGUACAACUCUUCGUGACCUCAUUGUCAUUGAUUUGAGGAUCCAAUUUGCCUACUACUUGAUCAUUUUUACUUUAAAAGUACUAUAAAAAGAGAAGAUUCACAGACAGAAAUCUAGGAAUGCAGCUUCUUAAGGAGUGAACUGUGGAACAGAGAUACUUGCAAAAUAGCUGUUACCAUGAAAACGAUUUAUAAAUCCUAGCAUGCAUCUUCUAUAUUUUCAUCCAUGUUGUGUAAAUAGCUAUUGCUUCCAGGUGUGCUGACCCACCUAGCAGUCAGAAAGCAAGCACACUUUGUGAAUUAUUUAAUAGUUGGAUUACAAAUAUUAAUCAUAAAAAGAACUGAAGUUUUUUCUUAAAAUAUUCUUGAAUAUGGAGCUUUGUUUGCAGGUCUUUCAGUGCAGCCUGGUACUGUAACUAAUAGGUGUGCAUGAAGAAAACCAUUUCACUUUGCAGCCUUUCCACCCACGUCUUUAAGGUUGCCAGAAAUCCUAUCUGUCAGCUAAAAUGAUGUUAAAGUUCUGUGCUGCUCUAAUCCAAAUAUGACAGAGAAUAGGAUUAGCAGAAGCUGUUCAAAUGUGAUAAAAUAACUGAAUAAAAAUGAGUUGAAGAGGAAAGCAUGAUAUUAGUGGAACAUGACCCAAUUAUAUAUGUAAAAACAUACCCAACAAAAUAGGUCAGAAAUACUCAACUAAAUGCAUUUACAUACUGCUUUGAAUGUGAAGUCUGUGCAGCUGUAGGAGUAUUAUAUAAGAUAUGUUAUAUUGGUAUCUGUGUAUAUUUAUCUGUAAUGAACUCCUGUAAAUACGUGGAACUGAAGCGAGACUUUGGAAUCUGACUCUUUCAGAAUAUAAGAUUGUAUAAACCAGAACAUCAGGUUCCUGAAUUGAUGUGGUCUUCAUGUCAUUUCUCUCUCUUCCACAACUCAUAUGAAAUUUCGGUAGGUAGCUUAUAUAAAUAGAGAAAAUAAAUUUGUCGACCUUUAAAGAAGAAAGAAGUUUAUUCUUUCAAUAAUGAAUUUUCAGUAGAAAUAGAAUUUAUUAGUGCUUACAGGUUAAUGGAACAACCUAAAAGAUAGAGUUACUGAUUAAGAAACUGUGUCUAACUCUCAAGUUAGCAUAAUAAUUUUUCUGUACUAAAUACAUGUUAAAUCUGCUAAUUUAAAGUGGCAUCAUGCACAAUUUUUAAGGUGUUAUCCAGUUCUCUUGACAAUAAUAAGAUAUUUUAAAAUUGGCUGUUCUGUUUCUCUAAAUAAGGGUAGUAAUGGAAUUAUCUGAUGUGGACUGAAUUAAGAGAAAUGGUGUUCAGAUCAGGUGUAGCAUUUUUGUUGUUUCCUCUUUUUUUUUCUCAUCAUGUGAAUGACUUGUCUCUAUAUGUUGAUUAAAAGAUACCUAAUUUAAAUUAUUUUAAAAUUGAAUUGUAUUUAAAUACCUUUAGGUAAACAGACCUAUUAACAUUAAUUGAAGAAAAUGAUAAUUUGGAAAUAUAUAGGGCUUUCAAAAUAUAGGUUUAUUUUCUCUGUUCUUUAAAUACAGGCUCUGAUCUUCAAAAUACUUUUAAAAUCGCUGAUGAACUUAGUCAGAAUUAGUUGAACAAGCAAAGAGCCUUUUAGUGUAUUAUGGAGCUACCUGAAAAUGGUCUUUAAAUCCUGCUUUAUCUUCCGUUAGCUAAAGAAAGCUCCCAUUUAGAGGCUGGGUUAUCUCCUUCCGCAAGAAAGUUGGCAGCAGACAGGGCAGAACAGCAGUAGAGAAAUGGAAAAUUAUGCUAUUAGUCUGCUAAAAAAUGACCAAUGUGGAUUCCCUUUAUACAUAAGAUUUCUCCUAAUUUAAAGAGGUUUUAAAAUAGUUACACUAACAAAUUCUUCUGUUCUCAACAUUACAAGAUCUUAAAAAUAUUCUGAAGAAGGUACUUAAUAUUUUAUGGAUGAGUGUUUAAAAUAACUAGACACAUUUAUAACAUUGUUUUCAUAACUUCAUUCUGACUUAGUGUCAUUGGAAGUACUUUACUAAAUGGUCCAAAUUUAUCAGAAUUCAUUGUCUUAACCAGUGAAAAUCGAGAUAUUAAUACUGAACUCCUGUAGAUAGAGAUCAUUUGGUUUGAUUGUUAAUGGACAUCAUGCUGAAUGUAUAAAUUACUAUUGUUGUGUGUAUAAAAAAAAAAUGUAUGUUUAAGAAGUGACUCCCCUCAAUUAUAAAAGGAGUGGUAUACAUUUCUUCAGUGGCAGAAUCAAUUUCCAUGUACCUGAAUACUGGUAGUUUUCUUGUAAUAUGGUACCCAGAAGGAAUCAUCCUCCAUGUUGCAGCUGGAGCAGGGGAGUGCCUGGUCUCUCUCUAUGUAUAUAGCAGACUACUAUAGCAAACUACUCCCUUCAAACUUCCCUUUUCCAUUUUCUCCCUGAGUUUGUUUUCUUACAUGAUUCCUUUCUUUUUUAUGACCAGAUGGUAAGUCAGUUCAAGGAACUGAGCCAACAGAAAGUGAAUCCAGGAGAGGAAAGCAGAGUAAUUAUUUUGGAUAGCUCAGGUCACUGGACUUGCUCAUAACCUGCUCAUCUGAGUGUGAGUGCCAAUGCAAAGGAAGAAACACGGUGGUGUGGCCAAGGGUGGGAAGCUGCAAGCCUUCAUUUUGGUAUUGCUAUGUGCAAUAGGUAGUGACUUUCUAGACAAGUUGAGCUAAAAGCAGCCAGAAUUAAGUGUUCUAACAGAGACAAUUGUUUUUCUCUUGUUGUAAAUCUGCAUGUAACCUCUUUUAAGAGAGAAUGCUUAUUCUAUUAUUGUUAAUCCUGUCUGGUAAAAGAUGUGAUUUGGCACCUACUCUUAUCUUGAAGGAAGGAAAGAUGUCUUGGUAUUGCAUUGAGAAUAUCCCAGUUUGCCAGCUUGACAUCCCUGGAAGUCUUCCUCUGUAUUAUUGCAUCUGUAAAGACUCUUGACUAGUUUUCUCUUUUUGGGUGGCCAUGCUCAGUGCAGAACCUGGAGAGAUUAACAAUUUAUUAGUGAUUACAUCAGUAUACUUAUGCACAAAAGUCAAAUGAGUCUGUUGUUUCAUGUUGUAAUUUAUCCUGACCACAUAAUCAAUCCGGGCAUUUGUGUAGCUCAUGUGGCAACUCGCAGUUACUUGGAACAAAACACCGAUUUCAAGAGAUCUUCCAAUUGUGCAGUUUCUUGUAAACCCAGGUACCUGUUCACAAAUGUGUGGAGCAAUAUGAAGAUCAUCUUGUCUGUAGUCUGUCAAAUAUUACUUCGUAAGUCAGCUGAUUUCAACACUUACACUCUCGAAAUGGCUCAAGUCUCUUCUGUUCACUGGUCUUUCUUUUACUUCAGUAUACAGCAGUUGACAACUGGAGUUCUUGCCUCUGAAUCAGUGCACAAAAGGAGAUACAGAAUGGAUAAUAGCUUUUUUUGUCAACUUUUUGUUUUCAGUUUCCCAUCUGAAAAGAAAGAAAAAAAAAAAACGUGUAUCAUCCACUCCUUUUUUUUAAUCAUAGAAUCAUUUUAUUUGGAAGGAACCCUUAAAGAUCAUCUGGUCCAACUCCCCUGCAGUGACCAACUCCCCAGCCUGACCUUGAGUGUCUCCAGGGGUGAGGCAUCUACCACCUCUGGGUGGUGUCUCAUCACUUAACUGUAAGAAAUCUUCCUUACAUGCAGCAUUAAUCUACCCUUUUUAAGUUUGAGACUAUUUUCCUUUGUCUUGUUGCCACAGACCCUACUUAAGAGUCUGUCUCCUUCCUCCAUAUAACCCUCUUUAAAUACUGAAAGGCUGCUAUCAGGUCUCUCUGGAGCCUUCUCUUCUCUAGGCUGAACAGCAGCAGCUCUCUCAGUCUGUCCUUGCUGGGGAGGUACUCCAUCCCUUGGAUCAUUUUUUGUGGCCCACUUCUGGAUGCAGCGUUGUUUUGCAAAUGUCAAAUGUUUGUUGUGCUGCUAAGAAUAUCAACAAAUUCUAGUGGCCUUGUCAGAAACUCUCGUGUCCAUGUUUUAGUUGGACUUGAAAUUUCUCAUGAAUAAUUGUUUGUGGACAGGCUUAAAAUCAAUGUGAGAUGUAUAUCUAAAAUACUCUUCUGCAUAAGAACCUUACAGUUUAGCAACCGACAUGUUCUUAACAUCGCAGUUGUGUUGCAUGUAACCAUUACCUAUAUGGUCAGGACUUUGUUUCCAAUUGAACUUCUGAAACUACCACAAAUGUCUUGGACUAGAUACUACGGAGAAGGAACAAUGUUACGGAGGAGCAGAGAGGACAAAAGAUGGACCUGUGUGGGUAUACAUGGGAGUGCGUAAUCCUGUAUUAUAGUGUAAGAAUUUUUUUUCUCUUGGACAGAGAAAUCUAGAAAGUCAUUCAGAAGAUCAUUUGAGACUACUGAACUGGAUUAUCCUACUACUGCUGUUUCACCUGGGAGAACCUGUAAUUUUGAGAUUUCUUGUCAAAGCUGUCUUCAAAAUAGCUGGGAAUCCCUUAUUAUAAGGAACUAAUGCUCUUCACUGAGAAACUUAUGAGUUUUGUAUGACAUCUGAGUGCCUAGCAAAUAUACAUAAGUAUUAUGUGCCAAAUUGAAGGUGUGAUCUCUUCACUCCAUCCAUGUGUAAGUUCAUAACACCUUAGCAAGGCAGGUCCACUGGUGUAUCAUAGAAUGGCGUGGGUUGGAAGGGACCUCAAAGAUAAUCUGGUUCCAAGCCUACUGCUAUAGGCAGGGUUGCCAACCACUAGAUUGGACUGCCCAGGAAUCCAUCAAGCCUGACCUUGAAUGUCUUCAGGGAUGGGGCAUCCACAAUUUCUCUGGGCACCUUGUUCCAGUGCCUUAUCACACUCUGAGUGAAGUAUUUCUUCCUAGCAUCAAACCUAAAUCUCUUCUCUUUCAGUUCAAAUUCAUUCCCUCUUGUCCUGUCACUAUCUAUCUACCUGCAUAAAAAGUUGGUCCUGUAAGCUCCUUUCAAGUAUUGGAAGGCCACAGUGAGGUCUCCCUGGAGCCUUCUCCAAGCUAAACAAUCCCAGCUACCUCAACCUUUCAUAGGAGAGGUGCUCCUGUACUCUGAUCAUCUUCCAGGCCUUCCUCUGCACCUGCUCCAACAGUUCCGCAUCCUUCCUGUACUGGGGGCCUGGAUACAGUACUCCAAAUGCAGUCUCACAAGGACAGAGCAGAGGGGGACGGUCCCUUCCUUCUCUCCUCUGGCCACCUCUCUUCUGAUGCAUCCUGGGAUGAUGUUGGCCUUCUGGGCAGCAAAAGCACACUGUUGGCUCACAUCCAGCUUUAGCUAUCUAUUUUUGCUCUCAAAUGAGGCACCACAACUCUAUUGAUCUGUAUUUAUUCCUACAUUAAGUGUCCUUUUGAAUACCAUCUGCUGAAUUCAUUGCAGCUUUGGGAACAGACUCUAGAUUUGAGUUCCAGUUCAAGGACUGUUCCAGGUAGAUUUAUCUCAGUGCUGGAGCGUUUAAGAAAUAGAGUGACAUAAACUUUGCAAACACCUAUCAGAGCAUGUGAUCCCUAACAGAUAGCUAUUCUUAGAAUAUAUAUUUCUUCUUUGCUAGUAGAACAGACAGCUUUGCCAAUGUUGAGCAAGUCUUGUUUGUUAAAACUGGGGAUGGGGAUGUUUUCAGCUGCUAUUAUUCCCCUGAAGCUGACAGUUUACUAAUGUAAAAAUUUUCCCUGCUCUUCAGCUAACUGUCUAACAUUGAUACUGAAAUUAAAGGCAGGUGUUAAAUUUAAAACAUUUUGCUGAAUAUUUACUGCAAAUUACUGAAUAAAAACUAUCAAGUUUUGUCUGCAGGUAUUUUUUUAGAUCAUCUUGAAAAUUUUCAAGUCUGAUGCAGGUAUUUGUGGCUUAAGACACUGCCACCCAGUAAUUUAUUAAACUAAGCUGUAGCCUAUUUCCUCUAGUAUUUUGUCUUUCCUUAAACAAACUUUGAUCAUGUUACCUAUCAGGAGUCCUGGCACAGUUAUUGGUUGCAUGGCAGUGAAAGCUCUGAGUCUAAUAAUGUUUCUAACAAAACUAACAGGAAAAUAGCAAAAGAAGUGCUGCUUCUAGGAAGAACCAUUUGAAGUCUUCCAUAUUCUUGCUUAUUUCAUUGUUACUGUGUUUGUGUUAUUGCUUCAUUAGAACUGUAGGUACUAAUUUAGACUUGAAGACUCUGAAAGAGGGGAAAACAUGAAAGUUCUUUGAGUGAGUAGGGUGGUGGGUUGAGUUUUUGCUUGUUUUUAGUUUUUCUUUUUUGUUGUUGUUUUUGUUUUAUGAUUCCCUCUCUCCCCCUCAAGUAUUUUGAUUCUGAAUGUUUCUCUUCCAUCUGUGGAGGAAAUGUAGAAUCUUUGAAUAAAAAUUGUCAGGCUUUGUAAAACUGAAAAAGGAAAUACAUGAUGUAACGUGGCCCAGGGCAUAAGAGGCAAUUGAAGGCUGCUUGUGGUUUUGCUUUGUUUGUAUAGCUUUCGGCUUUUUGCUGUUACAGUGCCUUUUAUCUCUUGGACUAUUUGACUGAGUGCUUGCAUUGAGAGUGGUUCUUUAAUGGAAGAUGGUUUGUGUUUAUCUUGCUCUGUUUGGAGUGCAGAUCUCAGAAAGCGGAUGAGAACAGUACACUGGCGGCAGUGAUUAAGACUUAAGAUUCUAUUUUUUCAUUAUUUUUUGUUUAAACAGAUGUUAUUGAAUAUUGCUCCCCUUCCUUUUUUUCUCCCCUGGUUGCCUGAAUUGUGCUUGCAAACUGGAGCCUGGGUUGUGCUUGCUGAAGAGUGGGGUUUUUCAGGCAUUGGUGGAAGGGUUUCAAGGAAUGGUUCAGAAUAAAGCCCUCCUCAUCAGGCACACUGAGCUACUGGUGAAUGCUCCCAUUUUGUGGUGGUUUAUCUUUACCUUGAGUGUGAAGUUAUUUCUGUGCAGAGCAGCAGAAGAGCUGUCACCCAAGCACUGCAUAAAUUCUGUCCUAAGGAUUUAUGCCUUGAGCUUAGUGAUGUAUUUAUUUUUCAGCAGUGUUUUAAAAUUGAUAGACUUUUAAGAAUAUGUUGGUAUGCAGAAAUAAUUAAAAUUAAAACCUCCCUUCCAGUCUGUAGUCUGUUAUUCCUUUUAUUCACUUUGUCAGCAGUACAAGGUUCAGAGACCACACUUUAAAAUUUGACAGGGAUUUGAAAACAGCAUAGUUCUUUUGUAUCCCCUUCUUCUUUUUUUCAUUUCAUUGUCAUUUAUUUCUUUUCAUCAGUAAAAUGGGGUUUCUAAAGCAUGGUUAAUAAUGAUCGUAAUGCUGCUCGUUAAAACGUUUUGUUCCAUUUACACUGAGCUGAAAUGGGUUAUAGGAGGAGAUGGUAACUAAAAACAUCUAAUUACCAUUGAUGCUUCUGUUUUCUGUCACAAGGAAGAUGAAGACCAAGCCAAAGCGUAAUGUCUUCUCUUUCUGUGAAGUCCUGGGAGGUCUAGUUACAAGGUUCAGUUGAAGACACAAGUGUUGUUAUGCCUGGUAUCAAUUAUUAGUUAUUAUAACAUGUAAAAAUUCCUGAGAACUAAUUUAUAGGUACUGUGUGGUUUCAGAUAGUAGAUUUUCAGCUCAAUGAACAAUGUUUAAAAUCUUAAUAGGCCAGUUUUUUUAAUGAGCUGACCUGAUAGUGGCUUUUGCUCAUGGCAACUGUAACACUUUAUGCUAAGUACUGUACAAGUUUGUAUAUAAAUACACAUUUAUGAUUUAAAUUACCAAAAAAUCAGCACUGUAGCUGCUGAGAAUUCUAUAGAAUUCAUAGAAUCAUAGAAUUGCUCAAGUUGGAAAAGACCUUAAAGGUCAUCGAGUCUAACCACAACCUAACCAUACUACCCUAAAUCUAAGAACCCUCUGCUAAAUCAUGUCCCUGAGCACCACAUCCAAAUGGUUUUUAAACACAUUCAGGGAUGAUGAUUCAACCACCUCCCUGGGGAGCCUAUUCCAGUGCUUAACAACCCUUUCUGUAAAGAAAUUUUUCCUGAUAUCCAACCUAAACUUACCCUGGUACAACUUGAGGCCAUUUCCCCUUAUUCGGUCACCAGUGAGAAGAGAGAAACGCCACUACAGAUUUUAAGGCCUUUUUAUAAGCAGGGGAAGUCACUCACCUGUGGAUGAAAGAGACAAGAGACCUUUCUUAUUAAAGAAAAAUGUUUCCUCAGAAAGCCAACCUCUUUUGAAUGAAGAAAAUCCUGCAGAAUUUCCUAUUGCCAUUGCUAUAAAAACAGUGGAUGGCUUAGCCCUGGCAGAAGUGUCAGAAACUGUUAUGUUAGAGGGGUGAGAAGAGUGAAAUGGUAGCAAGACAGUACUCUUCAGACAGCAGUUAGCAAUCUAAAUAUGCUGAUGUUCUCUGUUAGACUGAAACCUCCUUUAACAUGAAUACUACUGACAUAGGUUAACUAUUUUUUUGAAAUAUCAGACAGAUUGGAAGGCUGUAUAGAUGCUGUUUCCACUUACAGAAACUAGUCUUCUAUCUCAAGUUUACAUUUCAGCCUUGAAGAAAAAAAGGGUUGUUAGAUUUUAUUAGUUAAGUCCUUGGUUGAGAUGGUUACUGUGAAGUUUUCUUUUUUUACUGCGCUACAGAGGAAAGUUUUUCUCUUGUAACACUUGAGAUAUUUCAACUCUUAUCUUGAAGUCAUCUGAGGCCUGACACUUUUCAGAUGUGCGAAGCAUACUGCUUAUUCUUCUGAUGAAAGGAAGGAGAAAGAUUGUCAUAAUGUCAUUUAUAAUCUGAUAAUUUCUGAGAUUGUGAUGUGAGUGGUAAAAAGGUAGAAGAACUGUGAAUCUUCAUAAACGUACACUUUUUCUCAAGAUUGUUUAUGAAGAUGGUCCUUAUGAUGGUCACUUAGUCUUUGAUUUAACAAAGACUUGAUUCCAGAAGAAAAAAAUACAUCCUAAUUAUAUUUUCAUGGAGAAGUGACUUAUUUGGAAAAGGAGAAAAAGUGUUUUUUGUUGUUGUUGGGUUUGUUUUUUUUUUUUUUUUUGCAAUUUAAAUUAGCUUUUCUUACUCAAAUUAUAAUUCUUUGACAUGAUUUAUGGACUCAGUUGUUUUAAUAGUGUAGCUUAAUGGUUAAGCAUUAUAUCAAUAUAUAGGAAAAGAAAAUCUAAGCUUUAAUACAAAAACUGUAUGCUACUAUUAGUGUUUACUGGAGUAACACAAAUGAUCAGAAUAGAAGAUAAUUUAGGCAUUGUAUGAAGUGAUCAAAAUAUAUGCUUAUUUCUCUAGAAAAAGUAACUCAUGGAGAAUUGCUUUGUUUGUCUUGACUGGUUGUUUUCCCUUUAACGGAAGAUCUGACAUGCUUUAGAAUUCAUCUUCUACUUUGGUUUUAAUUUAUUAUUUGAAAUUGUAUUUUUUAAAUAGUUCCUGAUCAGAAUAACUUUUUGACAACAUUGAUUCUUCUUGGUUUCACUUCUGUGUAGGUAUUUGAAAAUGGCAACCAACUUGCAUAAAGAAAAAUAAGAAGAAAACUCUUCAAAAGCAAAGACAGCAGCAGGAUAUUAAUGCCUGUGGAUGAUUAGCAAUCAGCUUGGAGAAGUACCAAAUGCAUCACAAAGCUCAUUUACAGGGGGAGGAGGGGAAGGAAGCUCUACAAUAAAACACUUGAUAUGCACACCCCACAAUGUUACCCGAAAUAUGUUAUGAGAUAUAAACAUCUCUUCUAAUCUUUCUGCCCAAGCCUGAUUUUCUUUUUAAAAGCAUAAUAAAGGAGCAGAAUGAUUAAAACCUACAGCACAAAAGAUUAAGCAACACAGGAUUCUAGAUUAGUUCCAGUUGUUCCAAUUUCAAUAUCAAUAAGCUGAAGUAGUACCUAACAGUUCCAAUGAUGAAGUAUACUCUCUGAAAAUCAUAACAGAAUUAUCCACAUAAGAAAACAUUAAACUAGAGAUAAUUCUGGUUGCUAUUUUUCACUGUGGUUCAGCAUGCUAAUACUUGGGUUGGUGGUAGAAUACUAGAGAGGUAUAGUGAUGCUGAGGGGGUUGCUAAGCUGUUUACGUGUGUAGUCAUGUUUUUUUCUUCUUUGACAAAAAAACUUUUAUUCAUGCUCUUACACUAAUCAAGAAGCGCUUUUUAGAACAAUUAUGCCAUCUACAGAAUUGUGUGUAAUUAUGAAGUGCAUUAAUCAACUGUUCUGAUCUGCCUGAUUAGUAAUUUUUAGUCAUGAGCAAAAUGGAAGAAAACACAGAUAUAUUGAAAAUAAAAAUUGAACUUCAUUUUUGGGUUGUGUUCAGGUGUAUGGAAAGAAACAAGAGCACAGUGAUUUGCACAAGUUUUAAAUUAGCAAUUCCUGUAAAGAUGGCUGUGUCAAUCAACCCUCUGGGCUGCUUCACUACUAUUCGCAUUGCACUGUCAGUACUGAAAUAACCUUCUGAAGUGGUGCCUCUGUAUGAGCAAGUUUCCUGUUUUGGUGGGUUUAUUGUGUUUUAUUUAUUGAUUAGUAUAUUGGUAUAUAUUAAACCUCCUAAGAAAAAAAACUUGUAUUAGCCAGUUUAACUAUCCAGUUUGAGUCACCUUGGCCUCUUCUACAACUGGUUUCUCUUCUUGUGUGAUAUGUCUGUCUUUACUAUUCAGCUUGCUCGUAAAAGUAUGCUUUCUAGUUAGCCUUCUUGGGGGCAGGGCACAACUGUUUUUUGGUAUGUUGAUGUAGAAGACUGACUUGUUCAUUAAGUACAAAUGGAGAGAAUAAUUUUUAGUUUUUUUUAAGGAAAUCGUAAUUAUUUAUUUUCUGAUUUCGUUUUUCAUGUGUUCCCUUAAUCAUUAUCACUGAGACAGAGAUAUAAGUAAAAUGUGGUAUAUUGGCUACUGAUUACAAUUCAUGCAUCUAAUGAAGAUAUAGGUUCUAUUUAUGUGAUGCUGUAAACUUCUUGAAUUUUGCCCUGUUUUCUGAACUCAGAGUAAAUAUCUUCUUUUAGUUAAAACUGCAUACCAUUCUAGAACUUGUGAUAUUAAGAUCUAAUCAUGACAUUAAUUAUGAAGUUUUUUGCCCAGUCUGAGUCUUUACUACCUUUGAAAUGUUGUUCUUUAGCUUGCAUUCUCAAAGUUACCUAAAAAAAUAAAAAUAAAAAUAGAAAAUCAUCGGUGCGUUUGACUUGGUGUUUGGUUGACGUUAGAAAGAAGUCAUCUUUCUCUCCUAAAAACUAAGCACUGUUGUGUUUGAGUGUCUGAUGCCCCAGAGUUUUCUGCUGCUGUGCUAUGAUGGUUGUGUGGUUUUAUCCUACUUUCAUAUCACUCCUCGUAGGUGAACUGCUGCUCCCAAACAACUGUGCUGUCUUUGCAAGCAACCUAAAUGAAAUGCUCAGCUGCUCUAGAGAUCCGGAUGUACAAUUAUGUGCAUAAAAACAAAUGCAUCUCUCCUUCUGGCAAUUAUCUGAUAUUCAGUUACACAGUUUUUAGCACAAUUGUAAAUUAACAUAAUGAAGGCUUUACCUAAUCGCUCUGAAUACAGUGUUGUUCACUGAUGUCAGAUCAAGAAGAUAAGCAGUAUCCAAGUAUUGACCAAAAUAAAUGUCUCGGCACUUACGUGUAAGGAAACAUCAAUAUUCCUAACCAAUUUUGAUGACCAUAUGUUUUUGUCAGCAGUCUACCCGUAUGAUGUAUUUUGGAACACAAUGGGCAAGAUUACUUUGUGCACUCAUCCAUUUGGGUAAGUUUAAUCAAGGGGAGUGUACAGACCGGUCAGUAGUACAAAAAUGCAUCGAUAUCCUUAUCUUUUAUAACUACACUAGUUCUGUAAGUAGGAAAAUUAUCUGAGACACUCAGUUUUGACUGGGCACAGAAAUGGAAGAAAGAAAACCAAGCUGUGUUUCUUAAACCGAUACGUUACUGUAUAACUCAAAUCUUUUCCCCUCAGUCUUUGUAUAAACAUUAUUUCCUUAGCACUUUGUGAAGUGCUUUUCAGGUUCAAAGCCCUUUACACAAAUUAUUUUAAUUAGUUUUCACAUCUCCUCUGAGAGAGGUAAGUAAAUAUCAUUAUCCUCGUUUUUCCAGACAGGGACUGUCAUCUAGAGAGGUUAAGUAACUUGCCCAGGGCCACAAGGGGAAAUAUUGUCAUAGCUAGCCCUGAAAAUUCAAGAGCUGUUAUAACCUCACUCUUUCACUUUGUUUGCUAGGUGGCAACUUAAGUUGUUAAUGGCUACUUUUGUUACAGAAAUAUAUUCUGUGAUGUUUUUCGCUCUUUGGUGUGAGCAAGCAAGGAAGAAAUCAGAUUUUGUCUUACCAGACUGUAGCAUAGUAAGAGGGCUCAAACUCUCUUGUGUCCUUUUGAAUGUAGCAGUUUUCUUCAUUAGUUUGAAUUGUUGUAACAAUUUUCUAUCACUUUCUGACAUUUUCUUUAUUUUGCAAAAUGAAAUGUUGAACUGGAAUCAUUUGCCCACAGAAAGGCACUUGCUUCCUUCUGAGAUCUCUUAGAUUGUGUGAGGUUUCUCUGUAAAGCUGACAGGUACUAUGCAAGAUGUAUCAGAUAUUCUUGUUCUUUUAUGGCAGAAGGUGGGGUUCUGAGAGAUGCUGUGUGUGCCCAAGGGUACUUCACUGGGAGCCUCUGUGAUUGCAGUUCUGUGCAUUCUGUAAAACACAUAAGGCUAUAGACUCUUUCUCAGUACAUUACACAGACAUCUAUACCACAGUGGAAAAAUUAAAUGGUGGAAGAAAACCAAUCAAGUCAGUGACAAAACAUGCUUUAUGAAGGAAAAAAUGCUGAGUGUUUUGCCAGACGUUUUGGAAGCUAUGUGCUUGGCAUGUGUACAGCAAAAUAAACUGAUCAGCUACCAGUAGGAUGGCAAAAUUAGUCAUCAGUGGAAGCAUCAGGUAAUUCUCCAUGAUAACGAUCACACUAACCAGAGCCUCAGGGAUAGUUAGUAUAUAAAGCUUGAGCAUAGUCACUGUCUAGCAUACUAUUGUCCCUUCCUUUUAAGAAACAAACUUCAUUUACAUUGAGCUGUGGAAUAUUUUCUGUUUAAAUUCAAACAAAAUCUGUCCAGGAAGAAUCAAAUUACAUUAUAACUGUUUAUAUUAUCUAUUAUCAAAAGCAUCUUCUUUAACAGUAUCUCACCCUUUGGUUUUAAAGCACAUGCAUUUAUUUAAAUAUUAUUUGCUAGUGUCUUACUCUAUUAGCUGUACUGAAAACAUUUACCCUUUUUGUUUUUUAACAUUAUGAAUUCAGGUGGUGAACAGUGAUUAAUUUAAACUUUUUGUGGAAUGUAUAAAUAAAUAAUAUCCGUGUUACUGGAUUUUGCAAGAAAAUUUGCAGAAAUUAACUAUAUGUAUUACUGUUAGUAAAAUGUCCCCGUUUCCCAGUAGUGAAUUUUUCCAGGUUUGAUUGCUUCUAAAACAUUGUCUAGAAAUUUCAUUAGUAAAGCUUUUAAUGAUGCAUAAAUUCUGUGAAUGAUUUAGAGGUGCCUUCUGCUCUCCUUUGCUGCAGUGAUUGACAUCACUUUCUGUCACUGCAAGCAGCUAAAUAGUGUGAUUUGUUGUUUUUUUUUCUUUAGAAAAAGGAAUCUUUCUUGAGCAUUAUUUGAAUGGUUAUUGUGCCUCAGAUAGCAAAAAGCUAAAGAUUUAUCUCUUAAUGGUGAAAAGGUCGUAGUGAUAUCAUGUUCUCUGCCUUCUGACUCUCUCCCCUUGCUCCAUGUCAUCAGAAGCAGUGGUAUCGGUCUCUCCUACAUCCUGAAGUCAUAUUUUAAUACUCAGAAAUCUGUGGGACUCUGGUUUUGUUUGAAUUUUGAGCCUUUGAAUGAAAAAAAUGCCUACCCUAAAAGCAUGUGAGAGAAUUUGAUAGUAAAACUAAUAGCUGCCUCCUCAGCGUGGGGCCUGUGUUACUCCUGUGUGCUUACUAAUGUGCAACACAAGGACUUCUGUAGGCCCACUCAUGGGACUGGAGCAAAGUAAAGACUGUGAGUGAUUGGAGAGAGAGAGAGAGAGAGAGGAAAAAAAAAAAAAAAAAGAAGUUUAAAAAAAGAUUAGAUAUAGCUUUAAACAGGAAGGGAUGCUUGGAGAAGAAGCUGUGUGGUGGGCAGGCCAGAAGGCCUGGUGGUAGGAGAGCCGGCAUCCCUUUGCUAUGUGCACUACCUGGGCUGGGUAAAGAAGCCAGGAAACCAUAUCCAAAGGAAAAAACAAUGGUUGUAUUGAGAUCAGAAGUCCUUGAUGAUGGACCCCUGGGUUACAUCAGAGCUAGAGUAAGUUAGGAGGAGCAAAAACUGGAAUUGGAGAGUAGGAAGGCAGUGAAGUCAUCCCACUCAGAAUUGUGGUUGCUGUCAGGCUCCUUGGGCUGGUGGGCUUCUGCAGCAGUUACAACUAUCUGACACCUGAUUCACCCUACAUAGAUAACAGUGCUUUGUUUUGAGUUUAUGUUAGGGCCUUUUGAGGUAAUAAAAAAAGAAUUUAUUACAAGACUGUGUAAGAAUGAUUUCCGUGCAAAACCUACUUGUGGGCUACUGUAUGAAAUCCUGAACAAACGCUAGACACAAAUGGUUUUAGUGCUGUUAUUACUAAAACAGAUAGUAUUUACCCAGUUAUUUGUCCUCAAAUAACAGCCAGAGGGGUGAACAUUAAUGUUCCUAUUUCCAAUGAUGUACUCACACCUCGCUGAAGCACCAUGUUCUGUGAUUUUCUCUGUUGAAAUUUAACUCAAGACUCCUCAGGAGGGAGAGACAAUGCCUACUAUUACUUAAAUCUCUAAUGCUUCCUGAUUAUGCUUGCUGAGUAAUACCAAAAACCUUGCUUUGAAGUUUAGUAAAUUGUAAGUUACACACAUAGUAAUUUUAAUAAGUUUUUUGCAUCUACAUAUUCUUUGCAUGAUAAAUGGUUAUGUCUUUUCAGGUGAUGUUUUCAUGGAUGGUAAUACCUAAAAGAAAAGGUAAAGCCAGCUAACUCAACUCUAUAGCUAUUCUAAUUAUCUUCCCUACUGUUAAGGUCAUUUGGUUCUAGUCGGAACUGAUACUGUUCAUCUCUGAUUGUGUUCAUGAGGUUGUACUCUUCCUGUUGCCUCACUUCAGAGUAAAAUUUAUCAAAAAAUAUUUAAAUAUGCAGAAAUGGUGGUCUAGCCAAUCCCUCCUAAGACCUUGAGGAACAAAUCAAAUACCCUUUUAAGUGGUUUGAAUCUUUUCCUUGAUUUCUGUGACAAAUUGUUCAAACUUCAAAUUGUUUUGGAGAAGGAAAAAAAUACUAAAAAUGGACAUUAUACAAAAUAUACUAAACCUAAAAAGAAUAAUAAUAAUAAUAGCAUCAGAUGGAGUGGGAGCUGUGCUUACUAGAUCUGGCAAGGAAAUCAGUGUUGCCAGGAAGAGUCCAAUUACUUAAACAGAUCUAAUACAUAAGCAUAAAUCUUCUUUCCCAUUUUUAUAAUAGGCUGGGGAAAAGUUAGGUUUCAACUUGGAGCUAGAGCAUAAAUAAUAUUUUAAGUAAUACUCUUCAAUUUUCUCAGAUUAAAACUUAAUUUGUGUGCAUUAUGGUUGAAGUCUUACUUGUCACUGAAAUUAUAACCUGUGGUAAUAUUGAAUGAUAAUUACACUGUUGAUGACUUUUAAGAGUUUCCAAUUUGAUAUAGCCCUGGCUGACAAAACUACACCUUGUAAUGUGUGCUAAAUCAAGGUUUGAGAUGCACAAUGAAAGGGAGAUAGUUUUUAUAGUAGCUUUUUUUGUAGCCUUUUGCUUCAACUUAACAAUCUGCAUUUUUGCAUAAUGAUUUUUUAAACACGAAAUACCUGUGUUUAUAAAUUACACAUUUAUGUAGCUAAAUGAUGGCAAGAAUUUUGGUUAUCUGGUUAUGUGGUCUAUCUGCAAGCCAAGCUCAAUGUCUCUUAUUGUAUUAAAGCCUGAUUUUUUUUUUUCCUGGAAAGUAAUUUUUUAAUUUAUUUCUCAGAAGAAAGGGAAAACAAGGAGUAGUUUCUAUUUUACUUGUUUGUUAGUGGAAAAUACAAUCUUUCAAUAAUUAGUCUCUUCGCUUAAAUAAAAUACAGCUCACCUUUGACUGUGGUGGGCAAUCUACCCAUCAUUUUGCAGAAUUUAGGGAUAAGCUUAUGUUGCUCUCAGGUGGUAGUUCUCACAAUUUAGCAUACAUACAUGGAAUAAGAUUACAUAUAGAAGAUUAAUAUUAAAGCUGUGAAGUCAUACACUAAAACCUAUGCAGUGUUCAUUAAAACGUUGUGCAGGCAACUUUAUUUCCAUUAUUUUUACAUGUCAAGGUAUGUUUCUUUUACCCCACUAUUUUAAGGAAUAGAAAAGCUUUUUUUUUUUUUUUUAACUUGAUCUCUGUCUGUGAUCUCCAAAGACUAUCCUCAGUCUUCCUCCAUAUAUCGGUGUUGUUUACUGCCUAUCUCAUUGCCCAUCUGAGCCAGAAGACUGAAAACUUUAUAUGUAGUUAAAAACCCACAGGAGGGUGAAAUUAAGAUUCUGAGUAUGUUGUUUUGUAUGGUACCAGUAAAGUGUAAAAUAUUAUUGAUGUGAGAAUUAGAGGAAAUGGAUGUGGAGUCAAUGUUGUCAUUAGUUUGAUGCUAGCUUUCUAUAGCAAGAAUAACAGGUCAGAUUUAUGAUCAGCUACAGGUAGAAAUUCUAAUAGCGUCAGCCUGACCAGGUUUGCAUGUAUUUUUAUGGGUCAGUGCAUUUGACUCCUUUCCUCUGUACCUUCCUAUUUCAAGCAAAACAAACAUACUGGAAAUUAGUAUGGGAGACAUGGAGGAGGAAGGUGAGAGGAUAAUAGUACUUUAAAAAAAAAAAAAAAAAAAAAAAGUAUUCCUCAGCUUAAUUUUUCAAAGGCAGUGUUUCAACCUAAAAGCUUAACUCGGCUCCUGACCUCUAACCCACUUCCCCAGCAAAUAUCCUUGUGAGUCGGAGAUGAAUCAUAGAUUAGAUUAUUCUGGCUGCCAAAGGUAAAAGCAACUAAACAGUGACUGUAUAAUUAAAAAACAUUAGCUAGGUGUAAUGUGGGUGCUAUGAGCUCUGUAUUACCAAUGAUAAAAUAAGAUUAACUAUAUUUUAAUAUGGUUAGCCAGAUGGCUAGUGGAUGAGGAACCUGUUUCUUCCAAGAACAAAUGUCAAACGGAAGAGAAUAGGACAUAUUCACUUAAGCCAAUACUAAAAUAAUAUUGCAUAUAAAUACGGAAAGAAAAAAAAAAGAAAAUGAAAUGCCAGAUAUGAUUAUUUUGCAGCUCAUGGAAAAUUGUUUAUGGGACCUUACAAGCCAUUUAAUAAUCAACAAGACUAGAGAACAGUAAAUGUGGUUACUGAUCGAACAUUAGUAAUUUAGUUUCAACAUACCGUGUUUAGAGUCUGAUUCAUGGUGCACUAAAGUGGAAACCUUUCAAUAACACAUAUGGAACCAUCUGUAAUAGUUCAGGAAUACUUAAUUUUGGUGUAGUUAUUGCAGAGUUGUUUAUUGAUAGGUUAGUAUUAUUAAAGGAACAGAUUAGUUUAACUCCAUUAUGUUUCCUGUUCAGACAUAAAGAGAAGUUCUAGAUAGCUGGUUCUUAGAAGCAAAAUGCAGUUCAACUUUAUUUUAUAGGUUAGCCCAAUGGAUUAGCAAAACUGUGAGUGUGGAAGACUUGUUAAGAGGCAGUGCUAGGACUAUUAACACUGGCAAGAACUAUCUUGUUGUUUCUGACCAAUCUGUAAAUCUGAUCUGGCAAAGAAAGGCAUAAACCACAAUAUUCAAAGGAACACGGCAGCCUUGCUGUGUUUCAGUACACACAAGGGAAAACAUCAAAAAGAGGAGCGGGGAAUGUUGGCAAUGAUUGAAGAAUGUAGGCCUCAUUCUGUUAUUGUAAUGAAACAGACAAUUGGUAGCUGCACAGAAUAACACUGUUUCAAAAAAUCUUCCCUACACAUUUGCACCCUGCCAUUUUUUUUUUUUUUUUAAGUAGUUAAAACAGUUUAUCCAGUUUUCUGCUGUCAGAGGUGGUUUGAGAGCCAAGCUCUCAAAAAGAGGCUAGCUGGGCCUUUGGCUUCCUCUUAGAGCAGUAGGUGCAUACAGAUUAUUUAGCCUAUAUUAUUUAUAAAUCUGGAAAUCUGUGAAACAUUUGUUUUCUUAUUAAAGCAUGAGGCCAAAACUAUAGAGUUUUUCUUAAAAAAAAAAAAAAAACAACAGAAAAACAAAAAACAAACAAACAAAAACACAACAAAAGAAAUGCACGAAAAAAUCCAGCAAACAACAAAACCCAACAAACCGCACUGGGGAACAAAAGCAAAGCAAGUAGUCCCACCUUUGUGACAAACCCCUGGAGUCCUGUGAUUGCGACUGAUCUUUAAGUGACUAUGGCCCUCAGAAAAAAUUAAGGUGACUUAAUUGAAUUCAGAUCUAUAACCUCUAAUCGCGGGGUAUUCAAACUUGGGAAAAACUGGUAUUCAAGUGAGAAAUUCAGGCCUUACUAUGUUUCAGUUUUGUACAGAGCAGAUUAAAUCGGUUGCAGUAUGGAACUGGAGCUUCAAAGACUGCUCCCUAAAACUAUUUCUGGAUAACAUAAUCCACCUGACUAUGAAAUGCAAUAGCAGCUGUGAUUUCUAAUAAUAAUACUUUUUUUUUCUAUACACCAGAACACAUUUGUGUUGACAUUUAAGUACUGCUCAGCUGAGAUGUUUCACAGCUUGAGGGAGAAGAAAAUUUUCUCUUCCUCAACACAUCAUGAUUCUUUUUUCUGAGUGACUAACUUUGGCAGUAGGAAAGGAGAGAUGACUGAGCAGCAGAAGGGUUGCUGAAGGAUGAACAUUACAGUAUAACCUUCCCUGUGGUGUGUCCCUCUCCAUUUGAGUUCUGUGGCUGCUCCAUUCUCACUUUCUUACUAAUUGGCCCCAAUCAGAAUCCCUUGCUGUGAUAAGCCUUCCCACUAUCCCACGUCUUCAUUUCAAAGGCUGGUGCCAGCAGGCAGAAUGUUUUGUGGAUGCAAUUGCUUGGAGAAACUAAUGACUCUGGAUGAGGAAGGGAAAUGGUGUAAGACCUCAGUAAAUGUGCUCUCUGUUUCACCACUGGCCAUCUCCACUGGCCCAGCUCUCCAUCAUAUCUCCAGGUCAUAGGAGGUGGUUUGGAAGGCUGAAAGAAUGAUGUGUGACCAUUCUCCACUCAUGUGACCUAACAGAAAUACUUCAUUCAGAAACGUUCACCAGGAGAAUCUGUUGUUCUUUACCCACUUUUUUCUUUAAAGUCAGUAUUUGUCAUAAAAUAUGACAGAAGGGUUUUCCAACAUCUGGCUUUCUCAAUGAGUCUAGUGGAAUGUAAUGCUCUUAUGCCCUUCGGGAAACAUGUUUUCAACUUAAAUAUAAAAUGCUUCAUCUGCACUGAGAAUGCAGUGCUAAAAUGACCUCACUUAUUAACUGGGCUAUUUUAGGCUGGCAUCAAGUAUAAUCAAACAGGAUCAGUACACUGGAAGGGUGCAUCUUCAAAAUGGAAAGAAGAGUAGUAUAGGACUUUAUGUCAUUUUCAAUACUAGAGUGAGUUACGUAUACUGGUCCUUAGCAUUUCUAAACAUUUUUGAAGUUCGGAUAGCUUCUAGUGGCAUCUGGAGUUCCUCUUCUUUUCCUCAGUGCAGUCAUAUGAAAUUUUUGGAGAUGAACCUGCAGCACUGUUCUGUCAAGUACACUAAACACACUCUCUCUCUUCCAUGCUAGCAGUUGCACAGUGUUGCAGAGAUGUUCUCAAGGCAGUGCCUGCUGGAGAUAUCAAUAAAAUUGCAUCCUUUCCUGUUUUUAUUUUUCUCAUCUGCAAGGAUGGUUUUCAAAACUAAGGCAAGAAGAAGGCAUAGGGAAUAUUUGUUUGUUCUUCUUGAUUUUGUCUCCCUGUGACAAAAGCUGUACAAAAGUCAAUAAAUGAAACUAAUAUCAGUGAAGCCUCGAUUAUUUGAAAUAAUGGUAGCCGUAGGUCUAAUUAACUCACAGAGAGUUUGUCAGUGACCUUGAGAUAACAUCUGUACUUUCUGGGGAGCCAUCAGAAGCCACAUUUUGAAAUGUGGAAUAAACAGCUGUAGGGUUUUUUUUUGUGUGUGUUUCAUUUAUUUAUGUUUUUUACACUGUACUCAUUUGUUGUGCAUGUGGACGCUUGGUGUAAUAUGAAAUUCUGAGACACAAAUCUCAAUCUGUCAGGGAGAGAUUCAGUUAAUUCAAGUCUGCCUUCCUCCCCCCACCACCACCAUCCCCACAGCAAGGCUGCGGUUUUGCACAUUCACAACUGAGUGGCAGAGAUCUUAGAAGCACAGGAGAGUGUUUUGCAGAGUGAGUGGCUGUAAGCUGUGGCUCCUGGCAUGUGUUGUUGAUAAAUGUGAAUGUGCUGAUGUACUACAUGCCUUUGGACCACUUCCCUCCCCUUCCUCCUGAUGCAUGUGAUCCUGUUAGUGGAUCCUCACAUCACUGUGUAGGAAAAUGGAAAAAGGUUAAUGGAAAAGAUGCAUGUGCUUUUCCUUUGCUAUAAAAACUGGCCAUUCAGAGUUACUAUAAUAAAGACUAUGUUGGCUAUCUUAUCUAAAAGAUGCCACUUCUAUCUCAAGUGCUUUCAUUGUCUUGUAACUUUAACUUUCUAGCAGACAGUAAUGAAUUCCAUUUGUCAGUCUGUUUGUGGAUAUGUUCAAGUAAAAUUUAUAGAUCUGAGUUAACAUUUUCUGGUAAAGCUUUGUGGUUUUUGACAGUUUAAUGCUGCGAGACAUAAGCAGACAGUUUCAGGAUCUUCGAAUCCUUAUUUUUUUGGUAAAUAGCAGCUCUGUUGUUCCUGUAGAGAGGUUCACCAAAAAUAAUAAGAUGCUUCUGAUGAACUGUAUUUGGCAGAAAUCAUGAACUUUCCUUAUAGUUUCUUUCCUUCUGUUUGAAACAUGGAACAAAGAGGUGAAGCUUAACAGCGUGUUACUUGUCUUUAGGGAAAAAAAAUAAAAGGAAAAGUAAAUGGAGCUUUAAUAAUCUCUCUGAUUUUAUAAUUGUUUGUUCCCUAUGAUAGCGAAUGUCAAAUUACUACCUUAAAAAAAAUAAAAAGCAUUUUAAAGUGUUAUGAACGUACAGGGAGACUAUUCUAUAGAUGUCAAAUUUUCAAAUGACCUUUUUUUUUUUUAAUUUAUGAAAAUAAAACCUUUAAUAAUAAGAUUCUUGGGGAAAAAAAAAAUUACCAUUAUCUGGAAGGACAACCAUAAUUUUCUCCUAAUUAGAACUGAUUUUCUAUAAAGGUGGGCAAAAUUGAGCCUCUACCACUUUUGUGAAGCAAACCCUCAUGAUAUUUUUCUUCUUUGUACUGCUAAGAUUUAUCUCAUCUCUAGUUGUUAACGUCAACUGUAUGAUGAUUUUAAACCACUGCCAGUAUUGCCACAUGUGAUUCUGUUGAUUUACUCAAACCUUAUAUGCAGUAUUUGAUUCAUAGUUAAAUUGUAGGACACUGAGGAGUCAUGAGGAGAUGAACUUUUCUUGUUUCCAGCUGGAAUGGGCAGAGGUGUAGGUGACUUAAAACAAGCUUUUCCAUAAGUGGGUUCACAGAGUAGAAGAUCCUGUAACUCUUCCUUGCAAAUCUUGAAUUAUCAAAACUGUGGAACUAGCUUGAGCUAUUCUUCAUAGUCUGUUCUGUACUGUAAGAAGAACUGGGAGGAGUAAUAUGAUGGAAGGGGUCAGCACUUAAGAAUUGUAACCAGGUUGGCGUGAACUUUUAAGAGUUAAACAGAGAGGUAAGGCACCAUGUGUUCAUAACUUGCCCUGUUGUGUCUAGGUAAUGCAGUACAUAUGGCCUUCUCUCAGGAGCAGUGGGAGAGUGUACGUGCCAUAUGUUCUGCUAUACCUAGUCACUUGCAGGAAGUUAAGGACAAAGUGGCAGCUUUAACUUAUAAUUUCCUUUUAUUGGUGUGUAUCUCAGUUUUAAUGUGCUCAUUUGCAUAAGUUUAAAUAACUAUGUAAAUUCUAGCUUUGAAACUGACAUAUGGUAUUUUAUGUGCACAUCUAUCCUCUAAUGUAUACUUAAGGAAUACAACACUUUGACUAAUAGAGCCCAAAUGCUGCACUAGAGACACGUUGCCUGCUUCUAUCGCUUCUACAUUUAAUGCCUGAAAGGAAAGAAAAAAAAAAUUCCUUUUAUUCCAGGACAGUUGCAUUAUGUAGGAGGCAGUUGAGUCUGUCUGGAAUUCAAACUGAACACAGCGUAAUGUAAACAGUAUGUCACGCUGGAGAGUAAUGGUUUUAAGAAGUUUUCAGAUUUUCAAAGCCCAGGUGAAACUAGAAUUUCUAAUGAAUGAACUUUUGAGGAGGUUAUUGAUGUAAAAUGAUUAUUUCAGCACUCUUGACGAGUUCCUAGUUUGUCAUCUUUUUUUCUCACGCUUGUAAAACCCCAAUAGACAUCAGUACUAGUAAUUCCUUCUGUGCCCUCACAAAUGAAUUCUGGUUUGCAAAUUGCAGUAAGGUGGAUUCUAUAAUAUUAGUUGAUGCAACUGCUAUUAUUAUUUUUGAAAUUGCAAUUUAUUAAGCUUAGGGUCCACAGAACAGUCUGCGCUUGUUGAAGGGGACUCUUUAACACCAUCUAGUUGCUUUUCUUUUUGUUAUGCAUAACUAGUAUCAUGGGUGGCUUAAGAGAAAAGAGCAAGUGCAUAUAACAGCUUUAUUUUACAUUCUGAUGUUACAGAAUUUCAGUUUUUGCACCUAUUUUGCUGUUACUUGGUUUUCUGUUUCGUCUCCUAAAAAAUGCGGAUGCUGAAUAGCUUAUGCAAUCAGAGAAAUGAAGAGAAUGCUUGUACAGCUAACACUGCUGCUGAUCUCACAGUUCACAAAGUCUUGGUCUCUACUCCUGUUGCUCAUCUUGCAUAGGCUGCGAGGAUCAGCAAGCAGUUCCCCUUCGCUGUAAAUUCAGUCACUUGCAAAUUCAUAACAGAUUUUUGGUGGGACUGUAGGACAUAGAAGUUAGUACGUGGAGAAUUGCCCAGAGACCUCCACAGAUUUAGUACACUGCAUGCCAGCCAGUCUUGAAGUUGUCGCCAUUCCUGCACCAACAGUUCUUGACCAAUUUGAUUCCAGUUCUCCACUUAGGCUUUGCAGCAUGUGUGUGGGUGCGCUCUUGUAUCCUUUGGCUAUGUGAAGAAUAUGAGCUGGAGACCUUGGUAUGAAAUACUUAUACGAUAUCUAAAAAUUGUUUAUAAAAACUAUGAUAGAAGAAAUGGAAGGCAUGUGAUGCUAGAUCACAUUUUUGUAGAUAGAUAGAUAGAUAGAAUUGCAAUUUUGUAGAUAGAUAGAUAGAAUUGCAAAGUUCCCACUUCUUCCCUCUCCUUUCCCCAUCCCUCUCUAUUCCCUCUCCUCCAACCCUGCCUCCUUCAUCCAGCAGACCUGCUGUAGGCUUCUGUUGCCUGGCAAGAAAUUCUGUAUUUCUGUAACCCCAGACUGUGUCCAUCUUCCUGAUUAACUUCCUUCUGGAAAUCCUUCAAGGGAUCAAUGCAGAUUGAUACUUUCUCCCAAAAGUUGUCAGUUUCCUUUGUAAUCAGCGUAUUUCUUAACUACAGUAAAGAUUCUUCUGUUCCUUUGGAGACAUAAAUGUCUCUUUGUUAGACACAGCAUUACUUUCUGUAUUGAUUAAGCAGUUAACAAUUCAUCAGCUCGAUGAGAGAUAAUACUCCUCAUAGCUCCUUUUAGUGACUUAGGGUGGGAUUCCAAACAAUUCAUUGGCAGCACUGAAGUUUCUGUUCAUCAUCUCUGCCUUUUCUUUCCUUCCCAUUCCCCACGUUUCGCUUGGUGCGGCCCUUAGCAAGAACUGAUUCAGCUCAUUGGUUGCACAGAAAAAGAACCCAGCAGAGCAAGAAUCCCACUUCUGUCAUGUUAGGAGGUCAGUUUGGCUUAUGGAAACAGGCAGGGCAUAGAGCAUAUGGCAGGUGGAGGGCAAGGAGGCAGGACUUCUCCUCUUCACCCAGCACUGCUUUGGUUGCUCAGCGCUUAUGGGAAUGGUUGAGUUUUCAGUGUGUCUCUCUCACUGUGGAAUCUCAAUCUUCGUUCACCUUCUAUUUGUAUGCCUUUGUACAGUAAUAAGUUUGCUUAAUUCAGCAAAUGUAUGUAGGUCAUUAUUAGCUUCUCAUUGUCAGAAAGCGUGAUGUUAAUAAACCAGUUCGGGGUGACAUGGGAUUUAGAAUGACUGGCACCCUGCGUCUUUCUUCCCUGGAUUCAGUGGUGCUGGGAUAAAGGCAAAAGAUGAGCAAGUGAAGUAUCUUUUGUUCUUCCUUAUAUUCACUGCAAUGUAUUUUGCUAAACAGGCUCAGAACUUGCUGUGUAAAAAUCUGGAGUGGGAGAAAAAGCUACCUGUGACUUCUCUUAUGGGGGAAAAAAAAAGGAAAAAAAAAGGAGCUUUACCCACAGCUGAUGUGCUCUUAAAUUCCAUCACAAUCCCAAUGUGGUGAGGGAUAUACAGUAAAACAGUAAGUCAAAGAAGCUUCCAGAAAGGCUGUGUUAAAUGUUGUGCUUCAUCUGUUUGUAAGAUAAGAAUUUUGUUACUAAUAACUCUAAUUAUUUUGAUUUAGUAAACAUGGAUGAAAAAUAAAAAUUGGUCCACACAAAAAGCUUUAAAUAUACUUGUAUAAAUACUUACGUGUAUACAUUUUAUAUACAAAUGUGUAUGCUUACACAAUUUCUGGAGUGAAGCAUUGCAGAGUUAGUAACGUGACACUGGCAUUAAGCUGGACAAGCAAAAUGAGAGGUCAAGCCUGUACUCAUCUAAAUUAUUAUCAAAAUUGUGCAUCGCUCUGUAUUAUGCAACUGUAUUAUUUCUUCUCUCUUUCUGCCCACCAUCAUUAAACAAGCAUUUAUUUUGUUUGCAGCAUUAGUAAGGGUUGGGAUGAGAGUAGCAAAAAGGCUCCAUUUUGCUUUCAUUCUCAUUAAUAAUAAUAUUUCUUUGCUGAGGACUGACAUGAUCUCUAGCAAGUUAGGUGAAGCGACAUAGAGCAGGCUUCCCACCCCACCUUGAUGGGCAGCCUGUUACACUGCAGAUGACUGUGGGCAGGAAUGCAGUUGCUGUAGGUAGAUGCACAAGUAGUACAGAAAUACAGAUUCACACAUUUCUUCCACAUCUGUGACCUACUUGAAACAGCCUCCCUGGGACAUAAGUAGCUGGGUUGUUGACAAGCAGAUGCUCUUUUAUCCUACUGAUGCAGCAGAUAGAGAGUGCAAGGAACCGGUGUGGCUGUGGUAUAGUUGAGUAGAUGUUAUCUGGGUUGUAGCAACUACGUUGCAGUGUAGCCUGUUCUUUAUUAGUUUAAAUUUUUUUUAUAGUUAUGUUUAAAAUGAGCAGAACACACUUUGUUUAUGAGCAAGCUUGAUUAGCUCUGCCCAUUAUGAAGUAAUCAAAUGCUUCUAAUUACUUUCACGACUAUAUGUUUGUUUGAUAAUAUUCUUUCAAACUGAGGCUUUUAAUUGCUUCUUUAGUGGUUCAUUUCUCCAGAAAUGCUGGUUGUAUGAAUUUCUCCACUUUCCCAUCUCUUCAUGCUUGUAUAUGAGUUCAUGAAGUGUGACUUCACUGUGACAUGUAUUUAUGCCUAAGUCAAUAUUUUUUUAAUAGCAUGAGCUUCCCCUGUCUGUUAUCUUUCCUUGACAACGAUUACAGAAGUAAACACUGAAAAACACAUCUGCAAUACUGAAGCUGGCCUCUUUGUAUCAGCUGUCCACUGAAGGUCUCUUGUCUAGCAUAUGCUGCUGCCAAAUCUCUGUCUCGUGUUUUUAUUUCUUCUCUCCAGGGAAAAAUCCCCUAUGGAGCAACCCUCUUUUCUGCUUCAGAAGCCAAUGACUUGCUUGUAAACAGCGCAGUCCUUACUAGUAUUGCUAGGAAAAAAGCCCGACAACAUCCACCACAAAGCUCUACAAUUUAUCAGAUACUGUGGGACUGCGACAUUAGCUUCCUAUUAUUCCAGUCUUGGAGUCAAUACAAAAGGUGCCACCAGGAAAAGAGAACCUGACUAACCAAUUCCCACUGACUGAAAAACGAAUUAACCCCAUGGGGAACUGCACAAAAUGGUCUCCAAAAGACUUCUCCAGUCUUUUGAGUAGUCUUUCAUCAAGCACCGUGUAAUGAUGCAAAAUUGGUCCAAGCCUUGAAAUUAGAUACUUCAGUAAAGGAACUCUGAAUCACUGUGCUGGAGAUAGCUGUAUCUUGAAAGCCCAGCUAGUUUUGUGUAGUAAGAGUGUUAAAUAGAAAAGUCUGCCUAAUUUUUAGAAGUAUACCAAUAAUAUGUGUUUAUUUUUUCCAAUUUUAUUAUUUUUUCCCACAGUACUUUUCUUGAGAUGGAAACUUACGUGUGCUUAAAUUCAUCUGCUUUCUUAUUCACUUGCUUCUUAAAUAGCUGGGUAUGAGCUGGGCUGAUGUCUGGCUUCAUCCCAGAGAAGAAGUUGGUGCCCACCAUUCUGUGAAGAGGUCUGUGAGCUGCUAUAGCCAUGCUAUGUAUUUGAGCGUGGGCAAGAAGAUGUAGCCAUAUUCUGGUCCUCCCAGUAACAACAGCAAAAGCUUUCCCAUUCACUCUGUUUUCCCUGCAGGGCACACAGAAUUUUGCUUAACAGGAAUGUGUUUUAUGCUGAGUUUGUAAGCAAUAAAGCACACUUUUGUGCUUUCUCAUAGAUGCUUGACUAAGAACUUAAAAUGUGGAGUACCUAUUUAUAAGGAGAUCUCAAACAUGAGUGCAGAGUCUUUCAGACUUCACCUUUCUCCCCUUUCAAAUUUGACCUAUCAAGACUUAAUGAAGUGUGCAGCAUUCAGAAUUACUCUAAUACAUUUGCCGUUUCCGUUAUUCUCUGUAUGCGCAGAAAGUUUCUACUGGGAUUCUUCUUUGUGCUUGUUUUAGUGUGCUGAUGAGAUGGCAAGUAAUACUUAAUUUACUUAAAUUAGGACAAUAACUACAGGUGUUCAGUUAAAACAGGUUCAGAUUAGUUGUUACAGUUUAUUUUAAGGCACUCAGUCUCAUCAGAGACUAAUUCUGACCAUGAUACAGAAGACUUCUGCUACCAAUUGAUUGCACACUGGUCCCAUUUUGAAUGUAACAGCACUAAUGCCAUGAGAAGGGCCAUUAAGUGUUCCUUCCAUCUCCAUCAGGGACACAGAGAAAAUCAGCAACCAUAUGUUGCUAAUGUUAAGGGGGCAGGGAGAAAUGAGGGCUCCAAUCCCAUAGUUAUAAGCACUGAAUAAAGAUUCCACACAGAGAGAUAUAGGCAAGACACACAACAGCUUUCAAAAUUAAUGCAAGUGUUAAAAGGAAGUUUAAUGAAUGAUCUGAUAUGGCCAGAACAUCCGUUUUCCACUUCUGUUCAGAAGCACUUGAGUUAUUUUAGAAUCUGGGGAGUUUGAGAAGCCAGAUUGUGUUGCAGAAGUAGAAAGCACAAAAAAGAGAUCAUCUUGGCAGUAUCUCCCUCCCUUGCAAAGCAGAAUAUCAGUAAAGGCUAGUAGUUCAGUAAGAGGUUGUAUUUGCAUGGCUUAGGUGUCCAAUCUGUGAAAGCAUAUAUGCAAUUUGUAAUCUGUAGAGUACCGUCACACAGUUGGACUUAACCUAAUUCCCUCAGAAGGUUGAUUAGUUCAAAAUACUUCAAAUGCCUUCUUAUUGUCGUUUUUCACAGAGCUUCACUCAGCUCUAACAGCAGUAGUAGUGUAAGAAGUAUCUUUAAAAAUGGUGUCAGGCAUGAGUUCUGGGAAAGGAAGGAGUAAAAGUAUAGCAGGAAGAAAUACCGCUGUGAGAUGAAAGGAUGGAAAAAGAGAAGGGAGAAAACAGUGACAUUAAAGGAGGAUGUAUGGGAUACCAUCAAUGAUCAAAACACUCUUACACUGUAAAGGCAGAGUCAUAGAAUCAUAGAAUGGCCUGGGUUGAAAAGGACCACAAUGAUCAUCGAGUUCCAACCCCCCUGCUAUGUGCAGGGUUGCCACCCACUAGACCAGGCUGCCCAGAGCCACAUCCAGCCUGGCCUUGAAUGCCUCCAGGGAUGGGGCAUCCACAACCUCCUUGGACAAACUGUUCCAGAGUCAAUUAAUUCCUUCUGGACUGGAGAAAAAUACUAACGAGCAGAUGGUAUCAGUGCUUGGUGUGCUUUUGUUUUGGUUUUUCAUUUGUCUUGUGGGAAAUCACUGCUUUUUAGAAGAUUUUUAGAUAAAAUAGAAAGUUUUUGGAACUUGCAGGACUUUUGUGCAUUUCAAGUAAGAAAUAAUAUUUUGUUUUAGUAGAGUGUAAGAACAGUGAAUGUGUUUAAUUCCUGAAAAUGCAAUGGCACAGAGAAAACAAAGAGAACUUUGAGUGUUCUUGGAGCUGAGUGCACACUCACCAACACUAGGAGACUCAAUAGCUUCUGUGAGGGUGAGAGGUGUGGAGAAGGAAGUAAAGGUAGUGGGAGUGCUCCUAACUGCCCCUUGCUCAGUCUGCAUGUCAGCGUUAGAAAUUGGGAGAGAGGGAGAAGGCAGGUAAAAUGCUAGCAGCAGCAGCACUGGCAAUGAACACAAGGUAUUAAAUCAUUACUGGGACUUGGAAUAUGAUUAGUGAAGUUAAUGGAAAACUAAGCCACUGUGCCAAAUGACUGUUGCUAGGUUAAAGGAGGCUAAUUUGCAACACCGUAAUGAAAUUAGGCAUGCUGCCUUUGUUCCUGACACGGAACAUGAGGGGAAAAAAAGUUGCAUGUUUUGUGCACUUUUGGCCCCUCAACUUUCCUGUUGGAUGGGACAGCUAGAAUGGUGCUACCAAAUUUGUGUGACAGCUAUUCUUGGUGACUGGGGGGUUUUUGAAAGUGACUGGGGUUAGACAUAUUUGCCAGAUGGAUACUGAACCUGUCAGCCAAGUGCCACUUUGAAGGUGGGGACAGAUCAUUAAGAAUUUUCUUGUCUAUCACCUACCUUUUAAAUAGAAAUAAUUCCCAAGAGGUAUCACAUGUUUUAGCAAAACUUUGGAGUAUGAAGAUUUCAUAGGCUCCUUACAGAGCUGGAAUGUUUGUCCUCAGUCUGCAUGGCUAUGGUUUAAUGCAUGUUCUGUCCUGGCUGUUUUAUUUUUGCAGGAAAUGGUGUUGUUUUAUUGCACGUAAGUCCUGCUCUCUAAGCUAAGCACAUAGUACUUACCAGAAUUUCUUAAAACUUGUGAUUUUUAUUUAUAUUUUUAUUAGCAUCUGGAAACAAUGGAUGGGAUUCAAUUUACUUGCUUUCUAGAUAGCUACAGUUACAACCAUCAGAAUGUGAUCUAACAUGUUUUUAUAGUCAGAAGAGAGAAGCAUUCGCUUCUGAAGUCCAUUCAUCCUAACCUGUAGGAGCUGCAUGGAGUAAACUUGUUUAUUCCUUUCUAAAUAUUAAGGGAACCUCAAGUGCAGAUGUCUAGACUCAUGCUUUUUAUCACCUCUCACUCCUACUUAUAAAACUGCUGAGGAGUAUUAUAGUUAUUUUAUUUUAAAUAGCAUUCAUUAAAUAAAUAAUAUUUUAUAUUGGUUUUCCAAUGAAUGAAACCCUCUGUACGAAACCAGAAUCACCUAGCCUUUUCAACACAGGCUACAGGAAUGUCAAGAAUUUAAUAUUAAUAUAUUAUAUACUUUUUUUGAAAUACAGUACAAAUAAAAUUAGUAUCUUAAUACGUUAUAUAUGUAUGUCGGUUAAGACUUGUUAUAACAAAAGAUUAGGUAACAAUCCUCGUGCAGUUCUGUUUAUUGCAGAGCUUGACCUCUUAUAUAAUCGUCCUCAGCUUUAAAGCAGCUCCUCUUCCCUAACAUUUCCCAUCUUAAAUAGUAAUGAAAUGGCCUAAAUGUUUUAAAGAGUUUAAAUAUUUCAUGAAACUUGAGUGAUUAUUUUGGUGGAAUAACAGAGGUAGGUGUUGAAGUGGAGUACCUCUUUUGCAACUUCUCAGAAAAUUUAAUCACUUGACCCACUUGCACAGUUUCUUUAACAAGCAAGUAAUGUUUCUCUAAAACAUCUAAUCUUGUUAGUCUGUGUGGAUGCUCCUGGCUUGCGCUUGUUUGCCUGCUGCGUUAUACAGACAGUGGGUAUGAUUCUCUUAACAGAGACAGAUUCAGGCUAACCACAUUUUAUGAAGAGGUUUAUAUAUGAGGGUUAAGGAGAAUAUUUCAGCUAAUGCUUAUUUAUUGUGAUAUGUUUCCUUAAUAAACUCUUGAAGGGAAAAAAAAAAAAAAAAAAACAAGUUUUGCAUCGCAAAGAACUGUGAUUUUCAGAGAAAUUUGGGUAAGAUUGAUGUAUGAUGUGAGACAUAGAGAACACAAUGCUGUUUUUUUUCAGUCUCCAAGCAAAAUGUGUAGCACAGCGAGAAUGACAGCCAAACCAGAUUAUAGCUCAACAGGAACAGUUCCUGCAUCUCAGCGAACUUCAUGCAACUCAGUAAUUUAUCAUUGUUUUUUCUUACCUUUUACAGGAAUGCGUUUUUAUUCUGUGUCCUUACCCUACAGGCUAUUGCCUAGGCAACAUUCCCACACAGAAAUUACCACCAAAAAUUACACUGUCACGAGUGUAUACUUUGCAUAAUUUUAUUUUCACUCUGAUAGAAAGUAUUAUAUAUUUUCUGUAUAUGCCUUGCACUGAAGGUGGCAUAGUCUCACUUGCUUUAGGGUACUGAUUCUCUCCUUCAUUAUAGCAGCUAGCAUAAAUGGGAAAAAAUUAUAAUUUUAACCUCAUACAGAGCCACUCAAGGGUUUCUAGUAUGUCGGUAAAAAUGGUAUUUUCUGCACUAUAGUCAAGGACCUUGUCCUGAGAAGAGAAGGGUGGGUAGGGCAGAGUCACGAACACCUGGUUUGAGCCCUUUCCCACUGCUGGCACUGUGGGACAUUGGCCUGGGGGCACUAGGUUGGCACCUGUGGCCCUCCCCAGAGCAUCCCUGAAGCUCCUGAGCAGCACAAUGGCUUCCUGGGCAGAUGAAGUGUUUUGCAGCUGGAGCCAGCCCUGGUUGUGUCACUCAAGGCCUCCUGCACAAUUUGUGUGAUGAGCACCUGUGAUGGGGACCCCAGGUGCUGAGGAGCCAUGCUUUGCACCCACUUGAAGGCAGUGGGGGAACGGGGCUGUCCCAUCACUGGGUGGGAUAUGGGUUGCCCAGAGACGUUGACCACGCUGUGCUAGACAGGUGCAAUUACAGCCUUCUCACCUGUAGUUACUCUAUGAAGGGGUGUUUAAGUAUAGGUUUGCUAUACAUAACAAAACUCUUAAGCGUUGCAAUUAGCAUAACUGCUUUCUCUCUAUGAUAUCUGGGACACACAGUUGUAUAGGUGAACGCUUUUUCUAGGUAGAAAACAUUCCUUUUAACAAUCUCAAGUCUGUUUUCUCAGGUUAUUUUAAUUUAUAACUCACUUCAAUUACCAGUAACAGCAAUUAUGGAGGUAACAAUGUAAAGUAACUUUGUUAAAUUCAAAAUGCAUCUGGAUUUGAGUCCUGCAGUGGCAUUUUAUUGUAAUUUAACUCAACAUUUCAGUCAUUGCACUAUUCAUUAUCUCGUUUUCUUCCUACGUAUAUUCAAUAUAUAUACCUUGGAUGAUCUACUGCUAUCAAAUAAACUGAGUUAGAAAAAGGCUACAUACUGUUCAAAUGGUUUUGCUUGAUGACUAGGUUAAAAUAUGCCGAAGAUGCUGUAGAAUAUGCUUAAACUCAUAUUAAAUGUUUUACUAAUACAAACUACAGCUAUUGUUAGAUGACUUCUUAACAAUUUUCAUGGUGACAACAUGGUUAUAGGUCUUCUAGAUAACCUUUAACAUAAAAUGUAGAGUAUAAAAAGCUUAUUUGUGAGCCAAAAUAGGAAUAUUUGUUUUAAAUCCAGUCAGUAGUUUAUUUUAAAUCCAAGUCUGUAGUUCCUCCCUGGUAGAAAAAGUACUAGUUUCAUAAACACUGUUCUUAUCUGUCAUAUUAGUUAUUUUGUUGUUGUUGUUCCUUUAUUUUUGUGCGUGUGUUGGAUUUUUUUUCCCAAUGAAAGAUCCUAUGUCUUCCGUGACAACUGAAUAGCUCUAUGAAUGGUUCAUUUCUUGAGCAGUAGGGGUUUGGACGAGGAUACUUUAAAUUAGUCUAUAUGACCAUAUCCAUCACAGAGCUUUGCUGACACAAGAGGUCUUCACUGGAACAAAAUGGGAAAAAGCAGAUGCUUUCUUGGGAGUUAUUUUAUUUGAAAAUCCCUGGAAACCUUUUUUAAAACAAUGAAACUUCCCUUGAAGUCACUUACUGUGUACUUAAGAUCUUGUGUUUUAGCAUGCUCAGCUGGUGGCAUUUUAAAGAGUCAGCACACCACAAACUUCAGUAUAGAACCUGUUUUAGAUCCAUAUAUGUUUAAGCACUUUCAUUUAAAUCUGAUUCCCCUGCUUCUCCACCUCUUUUUUUUCCCUCCAGAUUUAGAACAUUAAGGAAAUCAGAUACAAUAGCUAUUGGCUAUUUAAAAACUGUUGAAGUGUUAAGGUGUAAUGAGAUGGAGUAUCAGCCUGGACAUUCAGUUUUAAUUUUGAUCUAUCCUGUUUUUCUGUUCAUUACUUAGUAUGUCCUCUAAGUUUGACUUUUGAUUUAGAAAAUACUGUAUUUUUUGCAUACUUUGAAUAUAUCUUCCUUAGUUAUUACACGUAGCUUUGUUAGCCCAAAUGUUUUGGUUCCUGUGAAAGUUACCAAAUAGCGAAGUAACAUCUGGUACAAAACAUGUUGACUAUUUUAAAAUAAGUGUAUUGUACUUUUUAAAGCAUCUUCUGUGCCUUUCCAUCAUGCUAUUGUUAGAAAGCAGUAUCUUUAAAAUAUGUUUUGGGUUUUCUUGAGGUUAAAACCUGUAUUAAACCAGCUGCUGUCAGGACUUCAGUUGCUCACUCAUGGAUGAGGAGAGGCAUUCGGUGUGGGAUAAGGGGUGUGUGUGAGCAGCCACUUCUGGCUUGUGCAUCCAACAGCAUUUGCUGAGGGAGCUGCACAAUUGCAACAGCAAAGGAACAGCUGCUCUCUUUGUGUGGCUUCGCAUCUCCCUAAACAAAUGGUUGAUUAGAAACUGUGCAAAAAAGCUGUAUUCAGCACAAAACAGGAAGGUGUCUUGUGCUUCUGAAGUGUGCACGUGACAUUUACGAUGAGAGGAAAAGGAGGUGUGAUAGGAAGAAACGUUGUCUCCCUAAAGAGAUUUGGCUUCUCAGAGCCAGCAAAAAGCAGUCUUGCUUUUAUCAUGGAAAGCCAAGCACUAAAACCUCAUAGCAGCUUUUGGGAACAACAAAAAAAAAAAGUCAAGAUCUGUGGUUAUAUGGAUGAGGCUACAUUUUAAAGCCCACUGCUGUCAAUUGCUGCAAUUUAUGGAAGCUUUCCUUUCCUUAAAAAUGUUUUAUUCUGUUAUGUGGUGGUACUCCUAGAGGUGAGUACCGGUAUUUCAAGUUGGAGAUUCUUGAGAGUUAGAUGUGAAUAUACAUCAAAUUCAGUUGUUACAACAGAGCUAAAUUUGAUCUCGUGGGUUGUUUACAGGCAUUGUCCUCAGCGCAUAUGCGCUCCAUCUAAAUCUGAGUGAAGCUCAGUUUGUGGUGAACAGCAACCAGUUACCAUUUACAGAGAAUGGAAGGGGAUGGUGGUGUCAAUACAACAGCUCCUGUUGGCAGUGGGCCCCUGGCCAUUAAUCCACCUGGGCAACUGAUAUGUCUUUUGGCAAGAGACAUAGCAGAAUCUGCUUCCUGGUUGAACAGAGAGAUGUGACAGAACAAAAGCAGACUGGCUUAUAAAUGCUAGGGAUUAGUAUAAUUCAUUAUCUUCCCCCCUCUUGCCAUCACCUUUUCCUAUCAAUCUUCCCUGGAAGAUGGCAGCAAUAUUUGCCUUUUUAUCAUGGAGAUGCUGUGAUGACUAAAUUAAAAAGACAAUUUAGAUUUGUUUAGAAAUCUUCAGUGACCCUCAGGCCAUAGGCCUGCAAUUAGUCGGAGCAUUUUUUGUCCUUUGAAAACAGGUUUAAUUAUUGGCAUUUGUGCUCUCACACAUAAUCAGCGGGACCCUAUUUGUGUUUCAGCUGAAGCCGCCUCUUGAUGGCCAAAUAAACAGCACCUUUUUUAUAUGGAAUAAAUUGUUGGCAUCAAAUGCUAAUUCAGAAUUAGCAUUAUUUAAAAACCUCUGAUGCUAUAAUCUUGACUGUGACUAUUUUUGUGGCACAAAAGCUAUUGUACAAACUAGGGCAAGUGUGGAAAACAGUUUUGCGGCUCCUCUCUCCUGCCAUCCCCUUCUGUGUAUGAGAAGUCCUUCCUCAAAAGCCAAACCUCAGUAUGAACACAGUCCAGGCUGUUUACAGUGAGAGAACACCUCAAUUCAAGCAGCUGUCAGGGAACAGGUAUUAAUCAUGCCAAUAUUCAGCAAGCCAUGUCUGAGAGCUUUCUUGUUCCUUUGAGCUUAAUAUGGAUAAAGCAGGUGGAGAAAGAGAAAUUGGAAAAGGUGGCUUCACUGAUAAGAAAGCCUACCAUAAACUUUGAAUUAGUGACAGUGUACCAGAUUUGCCUCUGGAGUGUUUCAUUAGUAUUGUGUACUGCUUCUACCGCAUGUUAGCUUUCUGCUGACAUGUCACCUGAGAUAACAACAUCAUCUAUUUAACGGGCACAGGAAGGAAACAAAUUAGUUUCCUACCAUCCAAGGAAAAAUGUGAAUGCUCAACACAUUCACAGUGUUUUUGUACUCACUGGAAAUUGUUUUACGUUUAUGAUUUACACAUUUUUCUUAGUAAACCAUCAUUUUUUAUUUUUUCCCCUGAAAAUUAUAUGACAGAUUGAACCAGGGAGCUAGAUCUCAUUCAGGAGGUAAAGUAAUGUACAAUAACAUGAUGGGAGCAGCUGCUCUCUUUGUACAGUUUGCUAGGUAGAUUGCUAUUGCAGAGCUUAAUAAGGACAAAACCAAUUAGCUGAUUAGAAGCUGCCAGAAAUAAGAGAGAACACGUAAGUAACAACAGAAGUAAACGCAGUUCUUCAGAAAUUUUGCUCAAUGCUACUGAUAUAAGGAUUUCUAGGAAAUAACUGUGCAUUAUAUUGUGCCUAAGACUAUAAUAAUCCAACACCUUUUUUUAAGCUUGUUUAAGAGAUCUUAAUAAAACUGCAGUGCUAACCAAGUACAAAUUCUACACAUUAAAUGGCAGAUUUUAAUAAAUAGAACAGCUGAGCAUUGAUCAAAGUUAAUACUCAAGAGCUACAUAAAAGAAGGCAAGCUCUAAAAUGAACAUUUUAAUACUUUCAGAGUAACGUGGGAUAGUUAUUUUUUUCAAGAGGCAUCUCAUUUAAAUGUAAAUCUGGCAUUCUGUUAUCAAAGUGAUUUUUUUAAUCAUUCUAUAUUUCUAGGGAUCUGGGAUCAAAGUCAUUUAUUGCACUUGCAAGUCAGUUUAUUCAAGAUGGCCAGUGAUGAGUUGUGAAUUACCUUGAAGGUAGAGUUCAGAGCAAAUAUUAAAGAAAGCGAAUGGACCGAAAGUGAAUUCUGAAGGGCUCCAUGAUUUUAAAACUGCAAUCUGUACUUUUUAGCUCUCAGAUGAUCUCAUAGAAGUGAUAAUUCAUCAGAUUCUGUCUAGUCUGGCACAGAAAAGCCCAAGGGAAAAGAAAUUGGGAACAGUGUUAGUGCAAACAGGUACUGCAAAAGCACAGCAAUACAUCCCUCAACACCACUUAUGCCAGUUGGCACAGGGCAGGCCAUGUCUUGGAUGGAAGAAAUGAAACCAACUGAAUGUAAACAGGGAGCUUUUAUAGCUCUCUCUUCGCAGGUAGCAUGAUGGCUGCAGUGUAGCUAUUGAUACACAGCCUUGAACCCUUCUACACUGGAAUGUCUUUCAUUAAAUGCGGAUAUGCAUCCUAGUCCUACAUGAAAUUCUUCAGGAGGCCUCUGUAAGCCAUGUCUGAAUGAAUUUUUGCAAGUUUUAUGAUAAAAGAGAGUGGGCGACUGUUUUUUUCAGAGCAGGUUGAAUUGAAAGCAUUCAGCUGCAUUCUUUUACCUGUAAUACGUAUAAAACCUGUGUAACUCCACUGUAGUCAGGAAGUAUUGAAAAAUAACUUUAAUACUAAUAACAGAUGCACAAGUUUAAAUACCUGUUUGUUGCAGGUCAGUGUUGGAGACAGAAGAUAUGGUCAACCAGAAAAUUGUUUUCACAGUGAAGCAAUUUGUACAUAGUUGUUUACUUUUUCUUUUGUAUCUAUGUACAAAUAGGGCACCUGCGAUGUUGCUGUUAAAACUGCCCCUCCUCACAUUGUUCUAGAGCAGAAACAAGCUCUAAAUAUCACAAUUGCUAAUGCUAUGUUUUCUCACCAUCUAUAUGUGUUUUGAUAUGUGUGGUUUCUUGCUCAUGUAUUUCAAAUAGUUUAAAUAAAUUAUAAAUAAAAGAAGCAAUCAUUGCAAUAGGCAAUUAAAUCUAAGGCGUGUGCUUGUGCUGGGAAGUGCACAGUUGACUUAAAAGAAUAGUGCCUAAUGAUAGUAUAUCAGCUUGCAAACUAAUUUUGGAAGCAGUUUACAUCCUUUUCAGUUGGGUGCCUGAAGCUCAGAGCGGCAUGUUCUGGUAAACACACCAAUAAUAUGGCAAUGAAAAACAUGCAGGAUGGAAAAGUGAGUUGUUGUGUCAUCGCCCAGAUUCUGAGAAGGGGAUGGAUAGCCAAGGUGUGCAGUUCAGUCAGCAGAACCUAAUGAGGUUCAAGAGAGCCAGGUGGAAGGUGUUGCUCUUGGGUCAGAACAAUCCCAGGUAUAUGUACAGACUGGGAGAAGAACUUACUGAGAGCAGCCUUGCUGACAAGGACUUGGGGAUUCUGAUGGAUGAAAAACUGGACAUGAUCCAGCAGUGUGUGCUUGCAGCCUAGAGGGCCAGCUGUAUCCUGGGCUCCAUCAAAAGAGUCAGAGGAUGGUGAGACACUGGAACAGGCUGCCCAGAGCAGUUGUGGAUGCCCCAUUCCUGGAGGUGUUCAAGGCCAUGCUGGACGGGGCCCUGGAUGGCCUGAUUGGGUGCCUGAUUUAGUGGUUUGCAACUCUGCCCAUGGCAGGUGAGUUGGUCACAUCCAAUCCAAGCUAUUCUAUGAUUCUUCAAUUCUAUGAUUAUUUGAUUCCUAAGUACUUCGCCUUAAAAUUAGUUAUCAAGUAUCUUCUUUAAUGGCUUUCCCAACCAGUUCUUGGCUCUUCCUUUGGCCCAAUAAAGAGUCCUGACCUUACUGUAAAAGAAAAGACCACCAGGGUCUCACUGAUACUUACUCCUUCUUCACUGCACCCAUCUCCUUGCUCCUUAGUCAUUUCCAUUCAGACAAAUGAAAAGGUUACUGCUCUUUAAAUAUCCCUUCACAAGGGUCUGUGGUAAUUGAACUGUCUAAAUUCAUGUAUCCAGUUAGAUUACUCUUUCUUUACAAAAAAUAAAUGCUCGACUUUUGUCAGUUCUUACCUCCUUAAAAAUAAAUCGCACAUGUGAGCCUAUUCUCGAAAGAGGUUGUUAAUGAAAGAGCAGUACAGAUAUGCAGCGGUGUUACGAAAGCUACUUUUUCUCUAUUCAUUCAGUUUAUGUCAAGUAAGCAUAUCUUUUAUACUACAUCUGAAGUUACUGCCUUCCUGUACUGUUUUAUAUCUUUAAAAGCAGGAACAUAUCUAUAGAGAGAAUGUGGGAUAUAUUGAGAAGAAGGUGAGCUGUUGAUUUGCAAUCUUAGAAAUAGAAUACUUCGUGGCUGGUGCUGGGUGGUAUUUUUCCUAGGUAUUUUGCUUUAUUUAAGGCAGAAUUGAUGCUCAAGUGUAUGGAAAUGUCACUCAGCAGUUCAGUAAGAAAAUGUGUUUCAGAUGGAAAGAUCACAAAUGUCUCAGAGACAUGCAGUAGUGGAUUCCUGAAGAAGUUAAGUAGUUGUUUUAAUUAAUAUGUUUAGUCAAUGGAGGAACAGUGUAUCAUUCUGUAAGCAGAUACAGGCUCUAAUGAAAAGUCCUGGUUGCUGUCCAAGGAACUUUGGAAACAUGAGAUUGAUAGGGACUUCUUUGAUCGCCAGUUCUCACUCCUUACCAUUCUCAGUAUCUCUUCAGACUAGUCCACGUUAUGAGUUUGCAAAGCAGCAUGCAGCUACAUGUCAGUCUGAGGAGAGGACAGGAGCUCCAUUUAUUGUAUUCCAAGUGUGGUCCAGAUUCCCAUUGUUCUAAUGUUUAGAUUUUUGUAUUUUUUAAUUAAUAGCCUAACUUUAUUUGUGGCCAUCUAAUAUUCAUUGUUUUGUGAGCCAGUUGGGGCCCCUGGAUUGAGUAAUUAUUUUUCUCCUUCAUUGUUCGGUUCCCUGUCAUAUUUUCUCAUAGUUUCGAUUUCAGUAGACUAGAAAAGCUCAAGCACUUUUAGCCUCUUUUUGUCAGAUAGAUUUUCCAUUUCUCUGAUCAUGUUUGCAGCUCUUUUCUGCACCUCUUCCAUUUUAAGCUUAUCAUUCUUUAACAUGAGUGAGCAGGACUCUAGGGCAUAUUAGAGAUGUCAGUGAUUAGAUUCCCCCACAUCUUGCACAGUAGCAUCAGUAUUUACUUCUCUGGAAAAAUCCUGUCUGAUACAGCUUAGAGUUGUAUUGUCCAUAUAACACUAGCAACUCAUACAUAAUUCCCGUGAUUGAUUUUUUUCUGCCUCAGUUGUUUGCAAGUGAUGAACUUCUGGCUUUUGGAAGAAAUGUUUUUAUUAGUCUUUAGGGGAAUUGCCUUGCCAGAAGUGUGAUAUUCUGAUUUCAUUUAAUAUUAUUCAUGUUCUCAAGGUCAUCAAGUCCUUUGCAUAUGGAUAUCCUAAUGCUACUCAGUAUUGAUUAUUUUCCAAGAAAAGAAUUACUGUAAUAUUCCACCAGUAUAGUACUGAUACAAGGUCAUUAUGAAAAUAUUUAACGAGAUUGCUCUCUAGACUGGUCAUUGAGAAACUCUUUUAAUGGCUUCCCUAUAGCCUGAAACUUUUCAGUGCUAAUCACUUCAAUUUUUCCUUUAGUUAGUUUCUUAUUGAUUUAAUAUUCCUAGUAUUAAUCCUAAUUUUGUCUAGAUUAAGUAAUGAUUUCCCAUGUUGGCACCAUGUAAAAAAUGUGUGCUUUUCUGAACUUCAGAUAUGUGAGGUCUCUCACAUCUGUAAUAUUAAAAAAAAAAAAA
rnacentral:lncRNA from 1 species